rnacentral:lncRNA from 1 species
ACAAACAUGAACACUCUUCAUUUCCUUAUUUCACUCUUCCUCUUCUCAUGCUUCCUUUCUCUUGUCUUGUCUUUUUCACCUCCUCAAACUCAUCUCCCUAAGCAAUGCCUUGAUGACCAGAGAGCUCCUCUCCUGCAAUUGCAGCAUCAUCUUUACUAUGCCCCUAAUUCUACUUUCUCUUCCAAUUUUGACCUCUGGGAUGUCAACACUGAUUGUUGUUCUUGGGAAGGAAUCACUUGUGAUGCUUAUGGUCAUGUCGUUGGCAUUGAUCUUAGUUACAAAAACCUUUCAGGCAGCUUUCACUCCAUAUUCGAUCUCCAUCAUCUUCAACACCUGAAUCUUGCUGGAAACAACUUUAAUACCACUCUGUUUUCGUAUGGGUUUGAUGAACUCCAAAAUCUAACUCAUCUCAACCUUUCAAGCUCAUGUUUCCAUGGCCAAAUUCCAGUGGAGAUCUCAUUCUUAAAAAGGUUAGUCUCUCUUGAUCUAUCCAAUCAAGGUUCUUGUUAUUUGAGAAAUGGUUACGAUUAUGAUUCAGCUACUUUAAAAUUGGAGAAACCAAACUUCAAGACAUUUAUCAAGAAUUUGAAGUUUCUCACGGAGCUUUAUUUGGAUGGUGUCGACAUUUCAACUCAAAGUACUAAAUGGUGUGAAACCACAUCUCUUGUACUUCCAAACAUGCAUGUGUUGAGUCUGUCAAGCUGUAGUUUGAAAGGUCCAUUAUGUUCUUCACUCUCAAGACUCUCCUUUCUUUCCAAACUUAUCCUUGAUGAAAACCCAACCUCUUAUUUACCUCCCAAUUUCUUGGUAAAUUCCUCUUGUUUGGUUUCUCUCAGUUUGAGGUAUUGCAAUUUGAAUGGGCAUUUUCCAACCGGAAUUCUCUUAUUGCCAAAAAUUCAAAGCAUUGACAUUUCAUUGAACCGCCAACUUAUGGGUCAGUUGCCAGAAUUUCCAGCAAACAAUGCAUUACUGAGUCUGUCACUUUAUGACACAAAUUUCAGUGGAAAACUACCUGAAUCGAUUGGUAAUCUUAAGUUCCUGACAAAUUUAGAUCUUUCUGGUUGCAAUUUUUUUGGACCCAUUCCAUCGUCAAUUGCAAAUCUUAGUCACCUGGUGAACCUAGAUCUAGGAGGGAACAAGCUUUCUGGAUCAAUACAUUCUUCUUUAUUUACUCUUCCAUCGUUGAAGAUCCUGUUUCUUGGAGACAAUCAAUUGGUUGGGAAAAUUGAUGAGUUCCCCAAUGCAUCUUCUUCUUUGAUUGAAGUACUGUAUAUAGGCAAUAAUUAUUUAAGAGGAGCAAUCCCAAAGUCAAUUCUUCAACUUCCAAGGCUUGAAUGGCUUUAUAUCGAAAGCAAUAGCUUUAGUUCCAUGAAGCUUGACAUGUCUGUCCAAGUCAACAACUUAAGGACUCUCUGGCUAAACUAUAUCAGCUUGUUAAUUGAAAGCGACAACAGAAGUCUUACUUUUCCCCAAUUAGAAAGCCUAAGCUUAAGGUCAUGCAACCUUACUGAAUUUCCAGAAUUCAUUAAAAGGCAAGACAAGUUGGUUUACUUAGAUCUUUCUAACAACCAUAUCCAUGGUUUUGUGCCCAAUUGGUUGUGGAAGAGCAGUCUUUCAUCCUUACACCUUAGACCUUUAUUUCAAUAUGAUUGAUUUUCCAAAACAAAUUCCUUUAAGUGAUGCAAACUUCUCUUUCCCAAUGUUGAGGCAAUUGAUUCUGGGAUAUUGUAACGUAAGUGCAUUUCCGGAGUUCUUAAAGAGUCAAGAAAAUUUAGAAUAUCUCAUACUUCCAAAUAACAAAAUAAGUGGUGCAAUACCAAACUGGGUGUGGAAGAAAAGUUUGCAUCAAUUGUCUCUUGCUAAUAACCAUCUCUUAUCUUUGGGCGAACUUUUACCCAAUCAGAGUUCAACUUUUUCACGAGGCUUUUUCUAUUUCGACGUAUCUUAUAACAAUUUGAGUGGCCCAAUUCCAAAUUGGUUAUGCAAUAUGAGUCAACUUCUCAGUUUCGAUGUAUUUUAUAACAAUUUGAGUGGCCCAAUUCCAAAUUGCUUGGGCGAUAUGAGUGCUCUGAGUUGGUUAGGUUUGCAAGGAAAUAACUUCAGUGGAAUGUUACCAAAAUUUUCAAAAGCAACCCAACUGCAAUUUCUGAAAGUUAGUGAGAAUAGAUUGGAAGGUAAGUUGCCCAGAUCAUUAGCUGAAUGCACUCAGCUUGAAGUUUUGGACGUGGCAAAAAACAUGAUGAAUGAUACAUUCCCUUUUUGGUUGGGGAAAUUGCCUGCGCUAAAGGUUCUCAUUUUGCGGGAAAACAGAUUUUACGGUCAAAUUAAACAUUUCAAACAUAAAUCUGUUUUCCCAACUUUGGAUGUAUUGGACAUUGCUUCAAACCAGUUUUCUGGUGAACUAUCCAUUGAUUUCCUUCAACCCACUCGACUAAGGUCACUCAAAAUAGGUGGGAAUAAAUUGGAAGGGAAGCUGUCGAGAUCAUUAGCCAAUUGCACAGCACUUGAGGUUCUGGACCUUGGAAAUAAUAUGGUUCAUGAUACAUUCCCAUUUUGGUUAGAGAAGCUACCUUCCUUGAAGGUUCUCGUUUUGCGAGCAAACAGAUUCUACGGCACAAUUUCAAAAAUUGACACGAAACGUGGGUUUCCAAAGCUACGCAUAUUGGACAUUGCUUCCAACAAUUUUUCAGGUGACUUGUCUAUUGAAUUUUUGCAGAGUUUGAAGGCAAUGGCGGAGAUGACUAAUGACGAAAAGGCUACGCUGGAUUAUAUCGGAGAGAAUUAUUAUCAAGACUCUGUGACAAUUGUUAACAGAGGGAUUGAAAUGUUCUACCAAAAAGUCUUGACAAUUCUUACUUGUCUUGACCUUUCCAACAAUAGUUUCCAUGGGAGAAUACCAGAAGAGAUACAAAUGCUGAGGUCACUCAGACUGAUGAACUUAUCCAACAAUGGCUUUUCUGGUGAAAUCCCAUUAGCACUUGAAAAUCUAAAAGAUCUUGAAUCUUUGGAUCUCUCACAGAAUGAGCUGUCAGGGAAGAUUCCUGCACAACUUACAAGUUUAAUUUUCUUAGCAGCAUUGAACUUGUCUUACAACCAACUCGAAGGGAGCAUACCACAAAGCAACCAAUUCAAUACAUUUACAAAUGAUUCCUACCGUGGGAACCCAAAAUUGUGUGGGCUGCCAUUGUCAAGGAAAUGCAAUGAAGUUGGUCUUCCAAUGCCACCACCUCCAGGGGAAAAUGAAGAUUCAUGGUUAUAUGCUCUGUGUACUUGGAAAAUUGCGUUGAUAGGUUAUGCUAGUGGAUUAGUGGUUGGGCUAUGUAUUGGAUAUACAGUGCUGAAUGAGUUGGGAAACAAAUGGGUUAACAAGUUCAAAAAGUGUGGGAUAAGAAAUAGAAGAAGAUGUAGGUGACUCCAUCAGAAUUCUUGCUUCAAAAUUAGCUGGUAAGCGUUUGUCUUUCUAAUUUGAACAGAUAGUUGUUGAUUUAUAUAUAUGGGUUUUCAUAACCUCAUUUUUUGCUGUCUUUACUAAGUUCACUAUCAUAUCGUGCUUGUAAUUUGAUGUUACCAUUGAGCAAUGCAGGAGGUACUUGAAGCAGGACAUGGAAUGUACAGUUGUGAGGUUCAUGAAGAAUGUAGGCAAUGAUCCUAACAAGAUCAAUCCACUGGUUUGUAAUUUUGCUUUAUAUGCACUUUUUUCCUUUUGUAGUUUUCCACGAGUAUAAGUAAGUGUUUAUUCAUUUUGCAUCCAGGUCCCUGUGGAUUUGGGGGAUGCAAUGUUUCACUGCUACUGAAUUUCCAUGCUAAUAAUGAUAUUAUAAACAAGGAUAUGGCUGCCCAAGCUUUCUUUUAUAUGCAAUUUACUUUUACUUCAAUUAUUUUAUCUUCGGAAUAUUUGUACAGCUGAGGAGAUUUAAUGGCAUGAUGUUGAUGGAAGCCAUAUCUGGUGGACAUUGGAUGGAUUGUGUAAAGAGACGCAGAUGCUGCUACUCCCAUCCUUUGCUCUUCCAAACAGAUAUUAGCUUUAUAUUUUAUCAAUCACGUGUUGGGCUUUAGGACCGGGUGUAAAGGGUGGACCUGUUGGUCUGGGUUUUAGUUCAGCCGGACACUUAUUUUCAUACUAGUUUGUUUAUCCUUUCAAUGAUAGUUAUAUUAAUUUCAAAAAACUUUUGAAAUUGAAAUUAAUUUUUUCAAAGAAUCGAAAAAUUGUUAAUAAUAUAAGAUAUCUUGUCAGUCUCAUUUGUCUUUGAUAAUUUCAAUUAAAUCUAUAGAAAUUUUAAUGUGAAAAUUUAAAUAAGUUUCUUUCAAAGAAAUUGCUAAGAAGAGAAAAACUGUAAACAUUUUAUCAUCAAAAUUUCCGCUACUUGUGCCCAUCAAUCCAUCUUAACUACCUAAGAAACUUGCUAAACAUUGUUUUCAUGGGGUAAAAAAGAUUUAGAUAUUUGCAUGCAGUGCCAAAAGGCUGAGACUAAGUCCAAUAAUAUCUCAUUCCAUAAAUUUCUAUUGAUUCCAUACACUUUAAGUUCAUUGAAAAGUCAUCAAAGUUAUGAGAAAAUUUAGUUUUUGAGCCAUUAAUUUAUCUCAACCAGCUAAAAAAAUUCACCACAAUUCCAUUUUUUUUUAUUAGUUGACUAAAAUAAAAUUAGUGGUACAACAUUAUUUUGAUGCAGUAGUGAUCGGGCUUAGUCCAAAAUUAAAAAUAAUGUAUGGAAAGUACUAAUUUGUGUAUAAAUAAGUUGUAUGGAAACAAUCCUCCUUCACAGCCAGCAAACAUGAAAGCCAUAUCUGAUGGACAUUGUACUGAUUGUGUAAAGAGACAACUGCUGCUGCUUCUCCCACCUUUUGCUGACACAUUGGGUUUUUAUUUUAUCAAACACAUGUUGGGUUUUGGUACAGCCUCGCACUUAUUUUGUACCAAUCGAAGUUUCGCAAAAAUUGUGUGGUCAUCAUAAUUUCCACUCCAUAUAUUCCCAUCAAUCCAUCUAAACCAGCUAACACAAAUGCUUUAUUUUUGUGUUUAUAAUGACUUGACUUAAACAAAGUGGUAAACCAUUGUUUUCAUAUGGUAAGGAUCGGGCAAAGACUUAGACAUUUGCAUGCAAUGCCAAAUCUUGAAUUUAGAGUUGAGCCCAUAAUUUGGGGUGUUGGAUUUAAUUAAACCCGUUGGUAGAUCAUAACAUAUUUAUAAGUUGGAUACUACUUAAUAAUUAGGAUUUAGGAGUACUCAUUAUUGGGUAAAAAGACUUGAACAUUAGCUUGCAUGCCAAAGAAAAAAAACCUUAAUUUCUAAAACACAUUUCAUCUUAUCCUUCAGCAAAUUAUCUCCGUCUCAUUUAUUUUUGAUGAUUUUUUAUGAGUGUUUAAUCGAAUCAAGUAAAAUUUUUUUGAGUUAACUGAACUGAUGAGUCCUAUUUAUCAUCCUAACUUGAUUUGACAUUUUUUCGAAUUGAGUCGAGUGAAAUGAAAUUCGAGUCAAAUUGAAUCGAGUGAAAUUAUUCAAGUUCAAUUAAAAAAUUAAAUAUAUCAAAUUAAAAUCUUGUUAUAGGAUAAUUAAUUUAAUGUUAGGACACAUAAAUUUAAAACUAUAUACAUUUGAAAACUUUUUCAAAACAAAAUAAUAAUAAAAAUUCUUACAAUUGAAAAAAUAUAUAUAAUUUAAAAUUUUUAUAAAUAUUUUGAAUUUUAAAAAUUAUUUUGAAAUAUUAGCAGGUAAGCAUUAGUCUAAUUAAGCAUUAGUCUUUCUAAUUUGAAAAGAUAGUUGUUGAAAAAUAAAUUUCUCUAUCAUAUCCUACUUGUAGCAUUGACAUUCAUUUUCCAUAUUCUAUUGUAAUUUUAUGUUUCAUUUAGCAAUGCAGGACAUGGAAUAUCCAGUCAGGAGGUACGUUAUCUUUGAGGAAAAUGGUAAUUAGUUCCUUAUGACUACAAGCAUUUUUCAAUCACGUUUUAUGCUUUAGGUCCGGGUGUAAAGGGUGAACUCGUUGGUCCGGGUUUUAGUGCAGCUUGACACUUGUUUUUAUAUUAGUCUAUUUAUCCUUUCAAUGACAGUCUUAUUACAUUAAAAAUUAUCGUUCAAUUAAGCUUUGUAUGUAAUAAUAUGAUAAUAAUAAUUAAAAUAUAAUGAAAGAAUUUUUGUGUUACAAUCUAGUAUGUUUUUAUAUUAGUCUAUUUAUCCUUUCAAUGAUAGUCUUAUUACGUUAAAAAUUACUGUUCAAUUACACUUUGUAUGUAAUAAUAUGAUAAUAAUAAUUAAAAUAUAAUGAAAGAAUUUUUGUGUUACAAUCUAGUAUGUUUUCCAAUGUUAGCCAAAGUCCAACACUAUGUCACACUAUUAUUACAAUGUACACAUACUUUUUAGGGAAAUUUAUCCAAUGAAACAGAGCAUUAAACUAGUUUCCCAGAUGCAGGGAAGAAUUGGAAUGCCACAAUACUAUGAAAAUGAUUAAGAAAAAUACUAAUAACAAAAAAAAAAAAAUGGUAAUGGAAUCACAGUAAUUGAAAUGACGAAGAAGGGUGUUUACCUGGAUUAUCAGCGACGAAUCUAAUGGUUGCCCAUCCAUUCACAGGCACUCCAACAGUGUUCCUCACAGGUGGAUCAACAAGGCUGAAUUUAGAAAUAUCCUUUUUAGGAUCGAAGUUCUUUAAACGUUGUGCAAUGAUAUAGAAAUCGUAUACAUGAAGAUGAAUUGGAUGAUUCUCGGGUGUCACUAUGCUUUUGUCUUGGAGCACAAUUUUGUACCCUAAAAAUGUUGGUAUGGGUUAGAGGUGAGAGAGGUGACUGAGAUGAAGAUGAUGAUGUUGAUGCUGAUGCUGAUGUGGUUGGUGGUGGCAAUGAUGAAGGUGAGUGAAGAAUGUUCAGUGAUGGAGGAUGCCUCCAGAGUGCUGGGAGCCGAAAGUGUUAGAAGAAAAAUGGUGGAAAAAGAGCCCCCGGUUAGAAGCUUUGCUACAAUUAAAAUUGAGUUAAAUUGAAUUUACCACAAAAUGCUGAUUUGUAUCCCGAUAAAAUUUGGUGUCUACGUAAAAAAAAAAUUAAAAUAUAAUGAAAGAAAUGAUGCCUUGCAAUGUGGUGUGCUUUUUAGUGUUAGUAAACAAUCUAAAACACUAGAAAAUUGGAAGUGACUUUAGAUUUAAAAAAGAAAAAAAAUCCAUAUUUUAGAUUAAAAAAGAAAUUCCUUUACUUUUUUAUGAAUUGACUAAAAUGAAGUGGUAGAAACAUUAUUUUCAUGCAGUAGUGAUCGGGAUAAGAUUAAGAUUAAUAAUAUUUUAUUCUUAUACUAAGACUUAGAAAUUUGCUUGCAAUGCCAAAUAUUAAAACUAAGACUAAGGCCAACAAUAUAUUUUACUAUUAUUUAGUUAAAAGUUUUUGAAGUUUAGAGAUAAAUUUAGAAUGCAACAUAUAAUUUGGGGUGUUAAAUUUAAUUAAACCCUUUAAUAGAUCAUAGCAUAUUUAUAAGUUUGGUACUGCUUCAUAAAUUAGGACAUAAAAGUACUCAUUAAUAAAUUAAUUUCGUAUAUAAAUUAAUUCUUUUGGGUGUUAUACCAAAUUUAAUUUAAAAUUUUUAAUAGUAAUUUUUAUUAAAAAUUAAAUUAUGUAAGAAUAAUUAUAUAUAAUCUAUAUACCUAUAUAUAAAAAUUGGUUUCCACCUUCUUUCUUUUUAAUUUACAUUUUACAAAAAAAAUUAAAAUUAAAAUUUAGUUUCUUUAAUAUGCCUAAAUUUGAGAUUUAAUCUAUACUUUAUUCUUUAACAUAAUUUAGGCACUAUAUUUUUAUAAUGUAAUAGAUUAGUCCUUACACGUGGCACAUCCAACCAUUUUUGCUGUCCUUUCCUUUAUCCUUUUUUUUUUAAUUUUACAAUAAAAUGUUAAAUUUCAGUUUCAAUCCCUCUAAUAUGUCUAAAUUUGAGAUUUAAUCUAUAUACUUUAAUCUUUAACAUAAUUUGGGCCCUACAUCUUUAAAUGUUAUUAAUUAGUCCAAAUUAUUAAUAUGAUUAACUUUUCGGUGAAACAUUACGUGGUUAUUGAUAGUUUGCAUACAUAAGAGUCUUAGAGACUGACACAUUACUUUCCAUUUCUUUUAGGUUUGCAUCACUUUUUUGUAAGCUAUACUAAAACUUAAUAUUUAAUCUAUAUAUUUAAUUUUUGAUAUAAUUUAGUUCAUCUACUUUUAUAAUGUAAUUAGCUAGUCAAAAUAGUUAAUGUUGUUGGUUAUUUCUAUCAACAUGCUAAUGUCAAUUUUUCUUAAAAACAAUAUGCUUCUGAUAGGAUUUUUUUUAUCGCGGCGAUGUGAAUGAGUGUUGUUAAGGAAAAGUCUUUAUAAAAUAUUUUAAAAGUUAUUUUUAUUGUUACAUGACUACCAAUUGAUUUUUUUUUUAAAUUUCAAAAUAUCACCUCAGAGAAUUUAAUAGAAGAAUUUUAAUGAUAGUAUAAUUGAAUCAAAAAUUUUAAAUUUUAAAAGUAGAAAAUCAUAUUUCUAAAAAUAAAAAUAGAGAAGCUAAAUUCUAAAUGUACAAAAUAGAGAGAAUUAAAAUAUAUUUUAACCUUCAAAUAUUUUACUCUAUAAUUAUAUAUUUUUACUCUAUAAUUCUCACUUCCACUUUAUCUUUGUUAAUUUCCUACUUAUUUCUAUUUUUUAUUUUGCUUAUGAAUCUAAACAGAGAAAAAAAAAGGACAAAAAAAAGAAAGAAAUGAAUAGUAUGAAUUAAAAUUUGAGAUUUGAUCCCUAUUAAAAAUUAAAAAUUUAUUGUUUCUAUUUUUUUAAUUUAAAAAUCAUAGAUAAAUCCUUCUACACGUAAUUUAAAAUUUUUGUGCAUUCAAUCAUCAGAAUUUCCACUCCUUGUGUCCAUCGGUUCAUCUCAAAUCACCUAAGAAACUUGCUAUAAUUUGUCUUUAUAAUGACUUAAACAAAUCGGUUGAACAUUGAUUUCAUGCAGUAGUGGUCCACCAAGAAGACUUAGGGUAGUUUUGGAUAGGUGGUGUAUUUAUUUGCUGUUAGUCUAAAAACAACGGUGACGGUAAGAUUAGAUACUAUAAUGAUACUGUAACAUGAGAUAAAAAAUAAGCUAAACGCACCGCACCGCCCAUCCAAAUCCACCCUUAGACAUUAACAUGCAUGCCAAAACAAUUAAGACUAAGGCUAAUAAAAUCUCAUAUUAUCAUUUUCUUUGUUAGUCCAAAAUAAAAAAAUAUUAAAAAAAUUUAAGUUAGACAAUUAUUGAUAAUUUAAGGACUUAAUUGAAAUAUUUUAAAAUUUAGGUAUUAAUUUAUAAUUUAAUCCAUUAUUCAGGGGAAAAGAUCAGAACCUUGGAAUAUUAUUCAUAUAGAAUAAAGAUGCAGAAAAAAGAAUGGUCUUCAUUUCUUUCGUUCUUUAUCAUUUUAAUUAACUUUAAGGAAGCUUCAAAGUAAAAAUUUAAAUAUGUUUCUUCCCAAGAAAUUAUAUUAACAACUUAAUGUAAAUAAUGAUUUGAAUAUUGGAAUUAAAUAUUAAGUAAAAUAAUAAUGUUGUAUUGAAACUACAAAUUUAUGUAUAAAUGUGUUGCAUGAAAACCAUCCUCCUUCAUACCCAAUCAACAUGAAGACUCUUCAGUCCAUUGCUUCACUUUUUCUACCUUUCUUCUUUCUCUUCUCAUCCUUUCUUUCUCAAACUCAUCUCCUAAUGCAGUGCCUUAAUAAAUAAGUUGUAUGCCAAACACAAUCCUCCUUCACACCCAUCCAACAUGAACACUUUUCGUUUCCUUAUUUCACUAUUUCUCUUCUCAUGCUUCUUUCCUCCUCUCUUGUCUUUUUUACCUCUUCAAACUAAUCUCCCAAAUGCUGCAAUUGCAACAUCAUCUUUACUAUGCCCCUAAUUUUACUUUCUCUUCCAAAUUUGAGCUCUGUGAUGUCAACACUGAUUGUUGUUCUUGGGAAGGAGUCACUUGUGAUGCUUAUGGUCAUGUCGUUGGCAUUGAUCUUAGUUACAAAAACCUUUCCAGUAUCUUCCACUCAAUAUUCGAUCUCCAUCAUCUUCAACACCUGAAUCUUGUUGAAAAUAACUUUAAUACCACUUUGCAUUCUUAUGGGUUUGUGUUAAAGUUGGCCUGCAUGCAGCCAAGAAGCAGAGAAGCAACCCGAGCCAUGAAUGUUGCAGUUGAAGAUGGUGCUGCUGUUUUUGUUUAGUUUUGUUACUUUAAUUAACAUUUUGUAACUUAGUUAGAUUCAAACCAAGUUGUUAAUGUACUUGAUGUAAUUUGUCAAUGCUUUGAGCUGAUAAAUUAGCUUCACUAAGUGUGCAAGUUAUGUUUCAUUAGUUUCAAGGUUACUUAGUGGUAGUAGGUAAUGUUUAGGUAACAAUUUACUUAUUUUUAACUAGCUUAUGUCUGGUAUAUGUAUUGGCAUUAUGCCAUCUUUCAAUGUUAAUGAAAAUUCAUCAAAAUUCAUCAUAAAAUUCCCUUUUCUUGCUUUCUUUUGUCUUUCAAGCCUGGUUAUAUUUUGUUUGCUCAGCAAGUAUCGAGCCUUCAAGCUCAAGAAACUGCUAACUUCAUUCAUUUCACAUUCUUAGUUCCAACAAUUGGUAUCUAGAGCUCAUCUUCUAAGUGGACAUGUCAUUUUUCAUUCCUCAAAACUAUGUCUUCUUCAGGUUCUCUCCAGCUGCACCAACAGUCUUCAAUGGAGAAUGCUACCACAUUUGGGUAGUAAAGAUGAAAACCUACUUGCAGGCAUUCAACUUAUGGGAAGUGGUUAACUCGGAUGUUGAACCAGCACCUCUAAGAGUCAAUCCCACAGUGGCUCAGAUCAGGCAGCACAUAGAUGAAAGAACUAAGAGAUACAAGGCCAUGUCUUGCAUCCAAAACAGUGUGUCUGAUGUGAUUUUCACAAGUAUCAUGGUUUGUGAGUCACCAAAACUGGCCUGGGAUAGGCUGAAGGAGGAGUUUCAAGGGACUGAAAGAACGAGAUAGCAAAAAUUAGUGAAUUUGAUAAGGGACUUUGAAAUUUUGAAGAUGAAGGAAGAAGAAAUAGUGAGGCAAUAUUCAGAUAGAAUCAUGGUUGUUGUGAACAGCAUCAAAUUGCUUGGGGACCAGUUUAGUGAAGCAAGAAUUAUAUAGAAGGUUAUCUCAACCUUGCCUGAAAGAUAUGAGGCCAAGAUCUCAUCCCUUGAAGACUCGAGAGAUCUGAUUAGCAUCUCAUUGACUAAGCUGAUCAAUGCUCUUUAUGCUUAAGAGCAAAGAAGAGCCAUCAAACAAGAAGAGCAUAAAAAAUGUGCAUUCCAAGCUAAAAGUAGAUUUACCUCGAGCUCCUCUAGCUAUAAAGGGAAGAAGACCUAGCAAGAAUGCCUAAAAGAGAUGGAGUAAGAAGAAGAUAUCCACCUUGCCCACAUUACAAAAAGCUUAGUCAUCAGGGAGAAAACUGUUGGUUCAGGUUUGAUGUGCAGUGCAAAGUCUGCAAAAAGAUGGGUCAUGCUGAGAAAGUUUGCAGAAACAAAGGCAAGCUGAGACGAAACCAACCUCAAUAGCCAAGAGCUAAAUCUCAAAUGGCAGAAGAAGGUAAUGACUAAGAAGAGUAAGUCUUUGUUGUUUCAUGCUCAGCUGCCAAAAGAAAAGCCACAAAAGAAUGGCUGAUAGACAGUGGUUGCACAAACCACAUGACUCCUAAUGCUGCUAUUUUCAAGACCUUAGACAGAACCUUCAACACAAGGGUGAAAGUUGGUAAUGGACACUUCAUCAAAGUAGAAGGCAAAGGAGAUGUGCUGAUUAACACUCCUACAAGUAUCAAACUUGUUUCAAAUCUUUUGUUUGUGCUUGAAAUUGACAGAAAUCUACUUAGUAUAGCUCAGUUGCUAGAAAAGGACUAUUCAAUAGUGCUCAAAGGCAAAGAAUGCCUGAUCAGUGAUCCAUAUAGAUCGAAACUCAUGUCAGUGACCAUGGCUGACAGAAGUUUUGUUAUGGACUGGAACAAGGGUUCAGACAGUGCCUAUACAGCUGCUUUGGAUGAAUCCAAGCUGUGGCAUAAAAGGCUAGGCCAUGUCAACUACAAGUCACUGGCUCAGCUAACCAAAGAAGACUUGGUUGAAAACUUCUCCAAAUUAGUUGAGAAAGAAGAAGUGUAUGAAGUGUGUCAGCUAGGAAAGUGAGCUAGACUGCCAUUUCCUUUGAACAAGGCUAAGAGAGCCUCUGAAAAGUUGCAACUAGUCCACACUGAUGUGUGUGGCCAUAUGAAGACACAAUCUUUGAAUGACAGCAGGUAUUUUAUCCUUUUCAUUGAUGACUACUCAAGAUAUUAUUGGAUUUACUUCCUAAAGGACAAAUCAGAAGUAGCCUUAAUAUUCUGGAAGUUCAAGGCUGUAGUAGAAACAGAAACAGGUUACAAGCUAAAGACAUUAAGGUCAGAUAAUGGGACAGAGUAUACCUCAACUAUGUUUCAGGGCUUUUGUGAUGAAGCAAGCAUCAAGCACCAAUUCACCAACACCUACACACCUCAACAGGAUGGUGUUAGUGAAAGAAAGAAUAGAAGCUUGAUGGAUAGGGCAAGAUGUCUGUUGUUUGAGAGAAAUUUGCCCAAAACCUUGUGGGUUGAGGUAGUUAACACUGUUGUAUAUCUUCAAAAUAGGUUACCAACCAAGGCAUUGGUUCAUAAAACUCUAUUCGAGGCCUAGUUUAGGUUCAAACCAUCAGUUGCUUACCUGAGGGUCUUUGGAUGCAUAUGCUAUGCACAUGUCCCGGAAGUAAAAAGAGAUAAGUUGGCCAAGAAGGCUCAACCUGGCAUCCUGGUGGGCUAUAGCAGUGUCAAGAAAGGCUAUAGGGUCUUGGCCCCUUCAUCCAAUAAAGUUUUUGUGAGCAAAGAUGUAGUAUUUGAUGAGAAGUGAGGCCGGAACUGGGAUAAAAAUAAACCAGAGACUGCUACUGAAGACCUGGUGACAAAUCAAACUGAAGCUGAUCGAAAUGAUCCUAAAAUGGGCAUUGAUGAUGUGCCAGUUAGAGGAACCAGACCAUUGGCUAAAAUAUAUGAGAGGGCUGAUGUGGCUGCUAUUAAACCAAAUUGCUUUGAAGAGGCUGAAGCUCAACAAGGUUGGAAACAUGCAAUGCUUGAUGAAAUGAGCAUGAUUCACAAGAAUAAGACCUGGGAGCUCGUUGCAAGACCAGCCAACAAGAAGGUUAUAGGAGUGAAGUGGGUGUUUCGAGCCAAGCAUAAAGCUGAUGGAACUUUGAACAAGCUGAAAGCAAGAUUAGUAGUGAAGGGAUUCAGUCAAAGGUAUGGCAUUGAUUAACUUGAAACAUUUGCACCUGUGGCCAAGUUUGACACAAUUAGACUGCUGGUUGCCUUGGCUGCACUGAAUCAUUGGAAGAUUCAUCAACUCGAUGUAAAAUCUGCCUUCCUCAAUGGUUUUCUUGAUGAUGAGAUAUAUGUUGAACAAUCUGAAGGUUUCAUAAAAAAAUAUUAUAGUUUUUACAUAAUAUAAAUUUUAGAAUUUUUAUGAAUAUUUUGAUUUUAAAAAUUAUUUAAUUUUUUUUGUAAUUUUUGUUAAGAGAGAUUAAUUUGUUAAUUUUUAAAAUUGACAGGAAUCAAAGGAGUAUAUAUAUCAAUCUGUUGUUUGAAUUAUUUGAGUUAUUUAAAUUAUAAAAUUUAACUCAAAUCUCAAAUUAUUAAUAUUUUUAAUAAUAUAAAACAUUAAAAAUAUUAAAAUUAAAUAAAAAAAUUAAAUAAUAAUAUAGAAAUGAAAAUAUUUCUCAUGCUCUAAGAAAGUUUGAAAGCUGAAAUUUAAAUAUGUUUCUUUCAAAAGUGAAAAAUUCUAUAUAUUCUAUCAUCAAAAUUUCCACUCAUUGUGUCCAUCAAUUUAUAAGGUGACUUGACUUGUACACAUUGGUUGAACGUUGUUUUUGUGCAAUAAAAACUUGGACAUUUGCAUGCAAUGCCAAAGACUUAAGACUUAAAAGGUCUAUAAUAUUUCAUACUACCAUUUUUUCUGGUCCUAAAUUAAAGAUUUUAAAAAUUCCAAAUUAAAAUGUUACUCAUAAUUUGAGAACUUAAUUAAAGCAUUGUAAAGUUUAUGUGUCAAUUUAAAAUUCGAUGUAUAAUUUUGCGAUGUAAGGUGAAUUAACCCGUUUGAUAAAUCAUUACAUAUUUACAAGUUGGAUACUCAUUAACAAAUUGAUUUUAUAUUAUAAGUUAAAAUUUAUAUUUUUGGUGCUAUAACAAAAUUUACUUAAAAAAUUAAAUUGUAAUUUUUUUAUUUUAAAAAAAUUAAAUGAUGUAGAAAUAAUUAUAUAUAACAUAAAAAUGAUAAAAUUUACCUAAGUUUAAAAUAAUUUAAAGUUAAAAUAUUUGUAUCAUGGAUUUUUUUUUCUAAAAAGUCGAUACCUAAAAUAUAUAAUUUAAACUCAAAAUAUCGGUUGAAUUAUCAUCUUUGCGUAGUAAUGGUUCCAAUAGGGUUUAAAGUGCUAUAAUUUAAUCUUUUUUAAUGACUUAGAUUUAGACGAUUAUUUAUAUAGAGUAAGGAGUGGGCAAGAAAAUGACAACCUUGGCAUUAAUAAAUUAAUGAGAUCGAUAAAAUAUUAAAAUCUCGUUCUUGAAAAUUAAAAUUAACAAAAAAGAAAGACGUAAGGCAAAUUAAGUGUGGAUUUAACAACUUAUUUCUAAUACUAACAAUAAGUAAUUUAUGCAUCAUAAGUAAUUUAUGCAUCAUGACUAACAGCUUUAAAUAAUACUUGAUGGAGUCUUGAUUUGGCAAAAUGACUUAGAAAUUGCAUGCAAUGCCAAUCACUCAUAAACUGUAACGACCCAAAAUCCGUGGGCAGUGGAAAAGUAUACUAUCGGGCCUCUAUCUUAGUAAACCGAGUUAGUAAAUAAUUAUUAGGAGUAAGUAUGAGUUUAGUUGAGUGCUUAAUUAGGUAUUAAUUAGGUGAAUUUAGUCUAAUUAAGAAUAAUUAGAAAAAAGGAUCAAAUCGAAUAAAGAGUGAAAGUCUAAUUAUAGAUUAAAAGAAAGUAAAAAGGACUAAAAUGAAAUUAAGCCAUUUACAUGAAAAGAGGCGACAUAUAUGCAUUAAAUCCAAGAUUUUAUUUAUAAAUAUUAUAUGUAUAUAAUUGUUAUAAUAAUUAUUAUUUAUUCAAAUUGUAAUUUAUAUUAAUUAUAUUAUUAUAUUAUAGAAUAAAUUAAAAUUAAGACAAGUGUUUGGUGAUAAGAUGGUACAAGUGUAAUAAUAUAUAUAUAUACACUUGUAUUAUAAUUAUUAUUUACUUAAAAUUUAAGUAAAAGAUAUUAAUUAAUUAAAUAAUUAUAUUAUUAGAUUUUUAUUUGAUAAACAAAUUAAAUAGUGACAAUUGUAUGAUAUUGAUGGUGUACAAAUGUGAAUAAAUGAUUGAAUAUUUAAUAGAUAUUUAGAAUAAAAUAUAUAUAUAUUAUUAUAAUAUAAAGUAAAUAAAAGAAAAUAAAAUAAAAGAAAGCAAAUGAAAUAAAAAGAAACAAAAGAAGAACAUAAUAGAAACAGAGAAAGAGACGAAAACAGGGGAAGAAAAGGGAAAGAAAAGAAAAGGGGAAAAUUGGGAUUUUAAAGCUUCAAGUUUAAUUGGUUAGCUAAAUUUAGCAUUUUUCUCUUAAUUUUGAUGUUUUAGAAGCUUUAAAACAAAGUUUUGUUGAAAUUAAGUUGAGGUUUUGGAAGUUUAUAAGUUUAGAGAGCAUGGUUCAUGUUGGACAAUUUGUUAAAUUAGGGAUUUAAUUGAAUGAAUUUCAAGUUAGAAUUGAUAAAAGGAUUAAAUUGUGAAGUAAGUUAUAAUUUUAUAUUGUAGGGACUAAAUUGAGGAAAAUUCAAAAUUAGAAAAAUAUGCUGAAAUUUUAAUAAUUAAAUUUGAGUUUGGAUGAAAUUUGAAUAGAAAAAGAGUGUGAAUUGAAUUAGAAAAGUAAGUAAACUUAGUUAAGAUUAAAUUUAGAAUAAGGUAAGAAUUGAUUAAAAAAUUAAUUAAUUAUUUUAAUUUAAUGUUGUAAUUAAUAGCGAAAAUUAUUAUUAUUUUCGUAGCUAACAAAGAACCCGAGACAUCGGCAUCAAAAGGAAAGGAGAAAGCUAUCGAGGAUUAAAUCGGGAGAUUUACGAUUUGUAUUACUAUAAUUCAAAUUAUUUAUUACUUAUUAUUAAAUUAAAAUUAUUUGUAUGGUAAGUGAAUAAUAAGGUAAGUGACUUAUUUAUAUUGAAUUUGGAAAAUUAAAUUGAAAUGAGAAAAGUAUGUUUCGGUAAUAAAUUGUGUUUUGAAUAGUGAAUGGAAAAGUAUAAUUGAGACCGAUACUGAACUGAAUUAUGAAAUACUGAAUAUUGUUUGAAUACUGAAUUGAACUGUGAAAUUACGGAAGUAAUGAAUUAUUGCAAUACUGUGAAACUGAUUGAAAUAAGGAAUUUUAAUUAAUACUAAACUAAAAUGGAAAUUAUACUGAAAAGUGAAUUAAAUACCCUAUUAACUAGUCGGGCUAGUCGGAUAUAGUUGGCAUGCCAUAGGAUAUGGAAGAGUACGGGGUAUUUGCUGGCUUACUGAUCAGGCACUUAUUGUAAUAACCCGAUUCUAGGCCUAGUCGGAGCAGUGGUUUCGAGACCACAAAUCCGACGAGGGAAAAAUUAUUAUAUUUUUAUGGUCUACAAUUUCAAGAAAAAUUGUUGUAAAAAUUUCGUUCGAAAAUUUUGACGUUUGGGCACUCAAUUUAAUCAAAAGGACUAAAUUGUAAAAAGUGCAAAAGUUGAGUUCUACAUCUUAGAGGUGUCUAAUUGUUAUGAAAUUUUAAAUUGAAGGUCUUUAUGUGGUAACUAGACCAUUAGUUAGUUGAUGGACAAAAAUGAGCAUAGAAUUAGUGAAAAAGAUUUUUUUAAGUAAGGGCAUUUUAGUCAUUUGGUAAUUAAAUAGAAUUAAAUGGGUGAAAGAUGACAAAAUAUGCUCAUCUUCUUCAUGGUGAAUGAAAUCAGUAAGGGGGAAAGCCAUAUUUAGGGUUUUUAAGCUUCCAAGCUCCAUAAUCAAGAAAGAUGUGAAGACCACCUUAAACGGGAAAAAGAAAAGGUCGAGGAGUAAAUCACAAAAUCAAAAUAUUUUGUUCCGAGGUAAGUAUGCAUGUGAUUUAAUGUAUUAUUUUAAUGUUAUUUUAUAUAUAUUGCUGGGAUUUGAUUGAAAAUGGAACGAAUACUCGAUAUAGACUCUAAAAUGUGGUUAAAUUGGAAGGUAGUAAAGCGUUGAAAAUCAAAGUUUCCGGUUGAACACUCGGAAUAAGCCGGGAUACAUUGAACAUAAAAGGGGGUUUCUAAGUGUUGAUUCCCCAAAUCAUCGGUGGUUGCUAAGUGCUGAUUCCACCGUGUCUUCGAAUAUGAAAGGGGUUGCUAAGUGCUGAUUCCCCAAAUCAUCGUGCUGAUUCUCCAAAUCAUUGGUGGUUGCUAAGUGUUGAUUCCACCGUAACGGAUUGUAUAAGGGGUUGCUAAGUGCUGAUUUCCCGAAUCAUUGGUGGUUGCUAAGUGCUGAUUCCACCAUAUUUUUGAAUGUGCAAAAGGAGGUUGCUAAGUGCUGAUUCCCCCAAGGGGUUGCUAAGUGCUAAUUCCCCGACUCACUUGUGGUUGCUACGUGCUGAAUCCACCAAAUAACGGUUAAUAUUCUGAGUGUUCAACAGGAAAAUUGGAAGGGUGAUUGAACAUGUAAAUUAAAUAUGAUUGUGUGGGGAAUAUUGGGUUUGAUAUUUAAUCAACCCAUGUGUAAGAUGAAUGGAAGUAUCAAAACUACAAAAGAGCAAGUUGGUCACAAACAGCUUAAAACAACAACAGUUGGGUAACUUGGAAAAUUCACCAUAAAUGGUGGAAUUUGAAUUAGAGGUUGGGUAAUAUAUGAAAUUGAAGCUGAAUGAGUCUAUUUUCAUAUGAAAGAAUCAUAGCAAGCAAAAGAGUUAUAUAUUUUGAAAUAUUUAAAUUUUAGUGAGACAGGGCUGAAUUGCUUUUGAGAUCCCCUGUUCCAACUUUGGAAAAUCACCAAAAAUUGUAAAAAAAUAAUUGUGGGUUGAAAUUUAUAUACUUAAAUUUCUUCAUUAAGUCUAUUUUCUGUAGAAAUAAACAAGAACCUUAUAUGAAUUUUGCACAGAGAGUAUAGAUUUUAGUAAAGGGUGGUCAGAGCUGUCGAGCAGUGAAAAGGGGAAGGUUUGAAGAAUAAAAUGUACUAAUUUCCAAAACCAAAAAUUCUGAAAAUUUUAUGGUAGAAAGGUAUAUGAGUAUAGUUUCAGAUAAAAUUUACAGAACUCAAUUUGGAGCUCUGUAGCUCCAGAUAAAAAUAAAUUAGUGACUGUGAUGCAGAAAAACAGGUUGCUGGAAAUUGAGCAAACAAUGAAAUUUAUGAAUGAUUAAAAUUAUAUCACUUUGUAAUAUUAUGAGAAAUUUAUUAAUUUUUCAUGUGGUUACUUACUAAGCUAUAUGCUUACUCUUCUUUAUUUUUCUCUUGAUUAUAGUGAUAACAAUCUGCCUGAAGUUGGACGAAGUCAGAAAUCAUCCACACUAUCGUCAUCUCUCGGGGUAUUUUGUAAUCAAUACUUUUGAAACAUGGCAUGUAUAGAUGACUUAAUUUAAUAUGAUAUAAAUAUGUUUGUAAAAUAUUGUUCGGUUAAAAAUGUUGGUGUUUAUUAUUGAAUAAAUUGUGUAUGCAUAUAUAAUACUGUAAUUGGUUGAAAUAUUAAGAUCGUUUGAAAUUGUUCUUUGAAAAUUUGCAGGAGGUUUUAUGUAAAAAUAAGCAGAAAUGCUGCCGAAAUUUUACAAAAAAAAAUAGUAAUACCUCGUGCUCUAUUCCAUCAAGGAAUACGGGUAAGGGGUGUUUCACUUAUGUGCCGACUACUGUUACUGUUACCGAUUCGGCACUUUGUGUGUCGAAUACUGUUACCAUUACUGUUACCGAUUCGGCACUUUGUGUGUCGAAUAUUGCUACUGUUACUGGUUACUGUUUAUUAGUGUGUUUGGUUGGAAUCCGUGUAUCCGCCGAGUCCGAGUUAAGUUAAUAGGGAUAAAUGAAAUAAAUUUACUGAUAAAACCAAUCUCGAAUGAUAUAGUAUAUGUGAAAAAUGAAAAUUGAAAUAAAGAAAUAAGAAUGAUAUUUAUAUAUAAGAUUAAUUGAUAAUAUAAAAAGAUCGAAUUGUUUAUUAGUAGUGAUGAUUGUAAUGAAAAAGUAUGUGUGUGAUUUAAUGUAUUUAAUUGUAAAUUGAAUUAUAGUGAUACCACUGAGUAUGAAAUACUCAGCGUACAGUUGUUUCUGUGCGCAGGUCGAUAGAAGUCAAAGGUUCCGUUUCAGCAUCCGAAGCCAGACCCGACUUCAGCAAAUUUUGGUGAUGAAUAUUUUCUUUGGUAAUGUGGCAUGUACAUAGGAUGGGUAUAAAAGUUAUUAUGUUUUGAAUAUAAAUGGUUAAAAAUGUUAGAAUUAUAAGUCUAAGAAUUAUAAUGAAAGAAGUUUAUCCAUUUCAAUUUAAUUAGUACGUUGAUAAAUUUAAAUUGAUAUUAUAUUGAUUGAGUUUGGUUAGAAGGUAUUUAGAAUAGAAUGAGAAUGUGAAAUGAAUUGGUUGAAUUGGUUAUGUUUGGAAAUGAUACAGUUUUAAUUGCAGGAGGUUUUAUGUAAAAAUAAGCAGAAGUGCUGUCGAAAUUUAUAAUAAUAAAAAAAAGAAAAAAAAAGAGAAAAAUUCGGAGUACUUAAACGAGUCCCAUUCAUUAUUAAUACAUGUUUUAGCCUUCGAAAGUUCAUUACAAGGACUUAGUUAUUCAAUUAUAUUACAAAUGUUAUUUUAUUUAUAAAUUAUUCGUAAGUUGUCUGAUAUGUUCGGUAAUGCCUCGUAAUCCUGUUCCGGUGACGGUUCGGGGUUAGAGGGUGUUACAUAAACAUUUUUCUAUGGAAAAUACACACUUGUGUAUAAAUAAGUCGUAUGCCAAACACAAUCCUCCUUCACACCCACCCAACAUGAACACUCUUCAUUCCCUUAUUUCACUCUUUCUCUUCUCAUGCUUCCUUCCUCUUCUCUUGUCUUUUUCACCUCCUCAAACUCAUCUCCCAAUGCAAUGCCUUGAUGACCAGAGAUCUCCUCUGCUGCAAUUGCAACAUCAUCUUUACUAUGCCCCUCAUUUUACUUUCUCUUCCAAAUUUGAGCUUUGGCACCCCAACACUGAUUGUUGCUCUUGGGAAGGAGUCACUUGUGAUGCUUAUGGUCAUGUCGUUGGCAUUGAUCUUAGUUACAAAAACCUUUCAGGCAGCUUUCACCCCAUAUUCAAUCUCCAUCGUCUUCAACGCCUUAAUCUUGUUGGAAACAACUUUAAUACCACUCUGUUUUCGUAUGGGUUUGAUAAACUCCAAAAUCUAACUCAUCUCAAUCUUUCAAGCUCAUGUUUCCAUGGCCAAAUUCCAGUGGAGAUCUCAUUCUUAAAAAAUUUAGUCUCUCUUGAUCUAUCCAAUCAAGAUUCUUGUUAUUUGAGAUAUUACAAAGUUCUUGUUGAAAGCUGGACUGCAAAGCAACAUGUGGCCAGCAGCAUGGUUGGCUGUCGAGCUUGGUGAUAAUGCUUGGUGUGCAAGACUGAAGCUGAACCAGAUGAAGCAAUCAACUUUGGAUGUUUUGUUCUUUUGUAAUUUAGUUUAGUUCAACUUUAACUAGUUUCCAAAGUUAGUUGGAUUAAGUUUGUGAUUGGAUUGAUGAUGUAAAAGCUGGUAUGUCAGCUUAUUUUGUAUUUGACUUAAGCUUGUAUUAGUUUAGUUUAAGUGGGAGCAGUUAUGUCAUUAGGUAACUGUCAAAUGAAUCAAAUUUGUAACUCUUUUAUAUAUUCAAAUUUUGAAUGAAAAAAAAAGGUGAAUGUUCAGUUACAAUUUGCUGAGUAUUCAAUUUUGUUCACUGUUUUUUGCUUUGCUUUGAUUUCUUUUGCUUCGAUACUUCUUGCUUCAGUUUUGCAAAUUCUGUUUUGCAACUUUGUUUUCUUUUUGCUGCUGCCAUUGUUCCAACAAAUGGUAUCAUGAGCCCGAGUCUUUGAGGGGCCUUUGUAUGCAAUCUGCAGCCACUUCAAUUAAAGAAUCCAAACUUCAAGACAUUAAUCAAGAAUUUGAGGUUUCUCACAGAGCUUUAUUUGGAUAGUGUGGACAUUUCAACUCAAAGUGCUAAAUGGUGUGAAACCACAUCUCUUAUACUUCCAAACCUGCAUGUGUUGAGUCUGUCAAGCUGUAGUUUGAAAGGUCCAUUAUGUUCUUCACUCUCAAGACUCUCUUUUCUUUCCAAACUUAUCCUUGAUUGGAACCCAAUCUCUUAUUUACCUCCCAAUUUCUUGGAAAUUUCCUCUCGUUUGGUUUCUCUCAGUUUGAGGAACUGCAAUUUGAGUGGCCAUUUUCCAAUUGAAAAUCUCUUAUCGCCAAAAAUUCAAAGCAUUGACAUUUCAUUCAACUUCCAACUUAUGGGUUAGUUGCCAGAAUUUCCAGCAAACAAUGCAUUAUUGAGUCUGUCACUUUUUGAGACAAAUUUCAGUGGAAAACUACCCCAAUCAAUUGGUAAUCUCAAGUUCUUGACUAAUUUAGAGCUUGAUGAUUGCAAUUUUUUUGGACCCAUUCCAUCGUCAAUUGCAAAUCUUAGUCACCUGGUCAACCUAGAUCUGGGAGGGAACAAGCUUUCUGGAUCAAUACAUUCUUCUUUAUUUACUCUUCCAUCGUUGAAGACCUUGUAUCUUGGAGAAAAUCAAUUGGUUGGGAAAAUUGACGAGUUCCCCAAUGCAUCUUCUUCUUUGAUUCAAGAAUUAAGUAUAGGAAAUAAUUAUUUAAGAGGAGCAAUCCCAAAGUCAAUUCUUCAACUCCCAAGGCUUGAAUGGCUUUAUAUCGAAAGCAAUAGCUUUAGUUCUAUGAAGCUUGACAUGUUUGUCCAAGUCAACAACUUAAGGACUCUCUGGCUAAACAAUAUAAGCUUGUUAAUUGAAAGCGACAACAGAAGUCUUACUUUUCCCAAUUAGAGAGUCUAAGCCUAUGGUCAUGCAACCUUACUGAAUUUCCAGAAUUCAUUAAAAGGCAAGACAAGUUGGUUGACUUAGAUCUUUCUAACAAUCAUAUCCAUGGUGUUGUGCCUAAUUGGUUGUGGAAGAGCAGUCUUUCAUCCUUACACCUUCCUUUCAAUGUGAUUGAUUUUCCAAAACAGCUUCCCUUAAAUGAUGCAAACUUCUCAUUUCCAAUGUUGACAGAAUUGGAUUUGAGAUCCUGUAACAUAAGUGCGUUUCCAGAGUUCUUAAAGAGUGUUGGAACAAAGAGACAAUAACAGGCUGUUUGUAUCUUGCUUGAAUAGCAAGCCUCGAGCCUUGUUGAAGAAACAAACUCAGAAGCAAAACAGAAAAUGAAACUAGCAGGCGAAUAACAGAAAAGAGAGAAGAAGAAUGAAUGAAAAAUGAGCUGAUAUUUUUUUCAUUAACUCAAAACAAGGCAUUAAGCCAUUACAUAUUUCAGUCAACAAGUAAAACAAACAAGUAAUCACCUAAUCAACUACCUAACUCCACUAAUUUGCAUUGAAACUUACAAGAUUAGCUUGUACAACUUGCAUUGCUGACUUUUCAGUCAAUCAAUAUCAAAACAUUUACCUACUUAGUUCAACAUGAACUAGAUUACAAAACAAUCAAAAUGAAACCAAAACAGCAAGUGGAUUGGCAGCUUCAAACUUCAGUUGCUGCACACAAUGGCACCACUGUUUGCUGCUAUUUCUUCGAGCAUGACCACCUUUGCAUGUCGUGCAUGGCCACCUUUGCAUGGGAACUAAACUUAACAAAGAGUCUAGAAAAUUUAAUAUUUCUCGACCUUUCAAUUAAUAAAAUAAGUGGUGCAAUACCAAACUGGGUGUGGAAGAAAAGUUUGCGGUCUCUGUAUCUUGCUAAUAACCAUCUCUCAUCUUUGGACCAACUUUUACCCAAUCAGAGUUCAACUUCUUCACAAACCUCCUCGACUAGACCUAUUUGCAAUUUGAGUCAACUUAGAAAUUUCGAUGCAUCUCAUAACAAUUUGAGCGGCACGAUUCCAAAUUGCUUAGGCAAAAUGAAUGAUCUCCUAUUGUUGGAUCUGCAAGGAAAUAACUUCAGUGGAAUGUUACCAAAAUUUUCAAAAGCAACCCACUUAUAUAUUCUCAAAGUUAGUGAGAAUAGAUUGGAAGGGAAGUUGCCCAGAUCAUUAGCUGAAUACACUCAGCUUGAAGUUUUGGACGUGGGAAACAACAAGAUGAAUGAUACAUUCCCUUUUUGGUUGGAGAAAUUGCCUUACUUGACGGUUCUAAUAUUGCGGGAAAACAGAUUUUAUGGUCAAAUUAAACAUUUCAAACAUAAAUCUGUUUUCCCAACUUUGGAUGUAUUGGACAUUGCUUCAAACCAGUUUUCUGGUGAACUAUCCAUUGAUUUCCUUCAACCCACUCGACUAAGGUCACUCAAAAUAGGUGGGAAUAAAUUGGAAGGGAAGCUGUCGAGAUCAUUAGCCAAUUGCACAGCACUUGAGGUUCUGGACCUUGGAAAUAAUAUGGUUCAUGAUACAUUCCCAUUUUGGUUAGAGAAGCUGCCUUCCUUGAAGGUUGUCAUUUUGCGAGCAAACAAAUUCUACGGACCAAUUACAAAAUUCAACACAGAACGUGGGUUUCCAAAGCUACGCAUAUUGGACAUUGCUUCCAACAAUUUUUCAGGCGACUUGUCCAUUGAAUUUUUGCAAAGCUUGAAGGCAAUGAUGUAGUUAACAAAUGAGGACAAAGCUAAGCUGGAUUACAUUGGAGAGAAUUAUUAUCAAGAUUCAGUGACAAUUUUCAACAAAGGGAUUGAGCUGUUUUACGAGAAAAUCUUAAACACUCUUACUUGUUUGACCUUUCCAACAAUAGUUUCCAUGGGAGAAUACCAGAAGAAAUACAAAUGCUGAGGUCACUCAAAGUGCUAAACUUGUCCUAUAAUAGCUUGUCCGGUGAAAUCCCAGUAGCAGUUCAAAACCUAAAAGAUCUGGAGUCUUUGGAUCUCUCACAGAAUGAGCUAUCAGGGAAGAUUCCUCCACAGCUUACAACUCUAACUUUCCUAGAGGCACUGAACUUGUCUUACAACCCACUUGAAGGGAGCAUACCGCAAGGCAACCAAUUCAGUACAUUUUCAAAUGAUUCUUAUCGUGGGAAUCCAAAAUUAUGCGGUCAACCAUUGUCCAAGAAAUGCAAUGAAGACGGUCUUCCAGUGCCACCGCCUCCAGGGGAAGAGGAACAGUCAUGGUUAUAUGCUAUAUCAACUUGGAAAAUUGUUUUGAUAGGUUAUGGUAGUGGUUUGGUCGCUGGGCUAUGUAUCGGAUAUACAGUGUUGAAUGAGUUGGGAAACAAAUGGGUUGACAAGUUCAAAAAACAUGGGAAAAGAAACAGAAGAAGAUCUAGGUGACUGUGUCAGACUUCAUAUAUUAAAGUCAACAGGUAAACAUUUCCUUUUGAAACUAUAGUCUUUAUAUUUUGAAAAGAUUGAUGACGUUUCAAACUAAUUUUGGAUCAUAUAUACAACAUUACAAUUCCUUAAAUUAAGCAGCAGGAGUGGUGACACAGUGAUUUUGUUUUUCCUAUGCAAUAUUCCCAUAUUUGCAUGCUUAUGAGAAGUUAUAUUCUUGGUGGUUUGACUUGUAUUUCUUAUUUUGUCACAGGGAAAUGACCUCUGUCCUUAUAAGCUUCAAGUCAUUGCAUGUCAUUGGUGGCAAUGAAUCAUUUUAAGUAGAAAACCACGCAAAGUAUGAUAAUUUUUGUUUGGGUUUUUGUGCUAUAUAUUUUAUCAAACACAUGUUGGGCUUUAGGCUCGGGUGUAAUGGGUAGAUCUAUUGGUCCGGGUUUUAGUGCAGUCUGACAUUUGUUUUGUACAAAUAAUUUAUUUAUCUUUUAAUAACAGUUUUAUUACUUUAAAAAUAAGUAAAUAAAAUAUAAUGAAAAAUUAGAUAUCUUAAAAAUAUGGUCCGUUUUCCGGAGUUUACAAACAAUGUAAAACACUAUAAAUAUGAUAGCUUUUUCAAAUGAUUCUCCCAUUAUGAAACAUUUAACAGAAUUUGCAUAAAUGAAAUAUUUAUUUACAAGAAAUAAAAAUUAGCCAUGUUAUGCAUAUGAAAAACGUGAUAAUUUGCAAGUGAAAUGAGAAGCUUCAUAUUCUAAUUUUCAGGCCAACAGUCUGAGAAGAAAGCACAGAUUGGCAGAAUAAAGUUGAGAAAAGGAGAAGCAUAUGGCGAAAAGGUUAAUCCCAAAACCGAUAUGCUGCACUCGACGUUCUCUUACAUGUAGUUUGUAUCAUACGCGGAUGGUUGGAUCUUAUUAUUUUAGGAUUUAGUUUACCCAACCGUGAACUUCUGCUUUAAAUACAAUAAUCCUAUUCUAAAUUGGUAUUGGGAUUAGUCAAUUUAUUCUUUCAAUGAUAGUUUUAUUACUUUAAAAAAAUACCCUUCAAUUAAACAUUGUAUGUAAUAAUAUGAUAAUAAUAAUUAAAAUAUAAUGAAAGAAAUUAUGUCUUACAGUCUAGUAAAGGCCAACAAUGUGUCACACUAUCAUUACAAUGUACACAUACUUUGUAGAGAAAUUUAUCCAAUGAAACAGAGGAUGAAACCAGUUUCCCAGAUGCAGGGAAGAAUUGGUAUGCUACAAUAUUACUAAGAAAAAUACUAAUAACAAAAAAAUGGUAAUGGAAUCACCGUUGUUAGUUUUUAGUGUUUUUUUUUGAGGUAUUAUAUAUUUGUAUUUGACCUAUGUUUAUAAUGGUGACCAGACCUGUUAUUUAUAUUUUUGAGAUCCUAGGCGAAACAAUAAAUUAGGGUCUUGUUUAAAAAAUAUUAAAUGUAAUACAAUAAAACAAAAAAAAUAAGCCCUUUUAUUUUAUAUUUUUUUUUGCCUGCAAUAAAUCGAAAGACUUAAAAAGUUAAAAAUUUCAUGUUAAAAACUGGAAAAAGAAACUUUUUGAGCCCUAAACGGUCACACUCCAAAACUACUCUAAAGUCGGGUUGAAAACAACCCAACAAAUUCCAAUCAAAUCCCAAGCUCCAAAAUUGGAAUUAACAAAUGGAAAAACAAAAAGACGUUGGUAAAGCAAAGUAAGUGUGAAAGAUAUGAAGAGUAAGAAGAGAGUAUGAAAAUUUUGAAAAUUGUAAAUUAGGAUGACUUUAAAAUAUGGGGAAGAUUCAUGGGUUUGAAAUCAAUGAUUUUGCAGUUUCUCUUUGUUGAUUUGGUGGAUGUUUCCCACUACUUUUGCUUUUAAUGCUUCCCAUUAUAUACUUGGAAAUUGGGAUUACUUUUGCCACUCAUUUCUCAUGUUUGUUUGGCCAAUAAAGAUUAUUUGCAUAAAGCAACAAUGGGGCAAUAGGCUGCAAUAUUUCCACAUGCCUCUCAAACAUUUUACUCCAAUUUUAUGGAUUUUUUAUAUUUUUUUAAAAAAUUAACAUAUUUUUCUACCUUUCUUCUUUCUCUUCUCAUCCUCUCUUUCUCAAUCUCACCUCCCCGAAAAGAGCAAUGAAAGAAGCGACAAAAGGGUCCUUGGCUGUUUGUGAUGAUGCACUUACAUAUACUCACUUCUAUACGAUUCAUGUAAAUCCUUUCUAUAACUUAUUUCCUUGGAAGCAUUCCUCUGUUAGAGCAACUAAUCCAAAUUCUUAAAUCCAGAUACUGAAUUUUUUUUUUCUUUUCUCUCGAUUUUGUAGCAGGGGCCAAACUCCCCAAUGUCUUGGCUACCAAUCUUCUUUAAUUUAAUCGAACUCAUUUAUGGUAAGGAUGAGUUUUGGAAUGCUCUAUGAAUAUUGUGAGUUGAACAUGAGUAGCAUACUUGACAUGCAAAAUCUAAUAUCAAGAAUCUCCCUUGUGAGAUUCAUUUUUGCUUCAAUUCACAGCCAUUUGGGGUAUGUAAUUUGUCUCUAGCACUGAACUUUCAUGCCAAUAAUGCUAUAUUAUAAACAAGGGUCAUGGCUUUUCCAAGCCUUCUUUAAUAUGAAUUUACUCUUUAGUUCAGAAUUUUAUUUUCAAAUUAUUUUUGUGCAGCUUGGAAGAUAAUAUGAUGAGUUAGUGUUGAUGAAAGCCACAUUUAACAGAGUGAUUCUGCAAAGAGACACCACUGCUAGAUGUGCCUCUUUGAAACGGGACAAGCUCAAGCAAAGAUCGUUAACUUUAUCUUUGAAAACAAUGGUAAAAGUUUCUAACUAAUUAUCUUUUCCUUGACAUCUUCUUUAAUCAUGAUUGAAUUAAGUUUAAGCAUAUGAAAGACAUGACUGUUGGUAGAUAAAUGAGAAGCUUCAUAUUCUAAUUUUCAGGCUAAUGGUCUAAGAAGACAGUAAGGCGUGUUGAUUGCAGUUUGUUAUCUAUUCUAUGGAAAAGAAAACGUGCAUUGCCAACAUAAAGUACAGAAAGGAUAUGCAUAAGGUGCAAAGGCUUAUCACCGAAGCAAGUCUGCAUCUUGUUUAAGGUGGCUCAUGUUCUCUUACAUGUAAUUUGCAUGAAAUCGUAUUAUCUUAGGAUUAUACUGGAGUGCCACCAGCAGUUGACCUCACUGGCAUGUGAGACACUGUUAAGAAUCUUGACAAUGAUCUUAACAAGAUUAAUCCACUAGUUUGUAAUUUUCCCUCUAUAUUUUACCAGGAGUAUAUAACUUAUUUACUUCUAUAUCUUGCAAUUUAUGCAGCCCCUGAGCAUGGUAUAGCUUGGUGUUGGUAGACACAUCGUCCAAGAACUUACAAGAUGUUGAGAAAGCAUAGUGUCGGCAAAAUUUUUGAGUUUUAUGGUUAAGUCUAUGAUCAUAAAUCUUAACAACAGAAUGAUUUUACUAUAAACAAUUUCAGGUUUAUAGGACUUUAUCAUCAAUGUAACUAUUUUUAAUGUGGUUAUAGGAGAGGGUUUGGCUGAAUUAUCAUUAGCUAAUCAUGGUCGAGCCAUUAGGACUAAUAGCUUCAUCAUCAUCCUUUGCUGUGAUAUGACUCUGGCUUGAAUUUAAAGAAAAUAUGAAGUACUUAUAAUGAGAGAGAAAAUUACUUAGCUAAGAGAAGAAAUCAUUUACUUCAACCAAAUUAUCCCCGGUAGAAAUAAAAGCCAAAAGAAUUAAAUUCAUUCAAAACAAAAAUUGUAGGGAUUAGUUUUAUAAUUUUACUUAAAUUUUCAUUUCAACAGGAGGACGCAGGUUCGAGUACAUUGAAGUGCAUUAUCCUCUUAUUUAUGGGUUGGGGAGAGACUAUGGGUAGUUUUAAGGCAUUGUAUCAAAAUAAUAGAUUUAAUCAAAACCUAUAAUGUAAAAAGUUGCUACUAAAAAGUUUAAAAAAUAGAAUUUUUAGUUUCCUUUUGUUUAUUUAUUUAUUUUUUUCAUAAUAUCUUUUAUGUAUAUUUGAAGUGUUUUGGGUUUGAUUUUUAAUCAUUAUAAUCAAAAACCCAAUUUUGUACUAAUAAAUCACACCAUUGUUAGUUUUUAGUGUUAUCUUUUGAGGUAUUAUAUAUUUGUAUUUGACCUAUGUUUAUAAUGGUGAUCAGACCCGUUUUUGAUAUUUUUGAGACCCUAGGCGAAACAAUAAAUCAAGGUUUUGUUUAAAAAAUUAUUAAAUGUAAUACAAAAAUUAAAAAAAUUGAGCCUUUUUUAUUUUAUAUUUUUUCUGCCUGCAAUAAAUCGAAAGACUAAAAAAGUUAAAAAAAUUCACUUUAAAAAUAAAUAAAAAAAAAAACUUUUUGAGUUCUGGACGGCCACACUCUCAAACUACCUUAAAGUCAGGUUGACGGUGACUAGAAAACAACCCAACAAAUUCCAAUCAAAUCCCAAGCUCCAAAAUUGGAAUUAACAAAUAGAAAAACAAAAAGACGUUGGUAAAGCAAAGUAAGUGUGAAAGAUAUGAAGAGUAAGAAGAGAGUAUGAAAAAUUUGAAAAUUGUAAAUUAGGAUGACUUUAAAAUAUGGGGAAGAUUCAUGGGUUUGAAAUCAAUGAUUUUGCAGUUUCUCUUUGUUGAUUUGGUGGAUGUUUCCCACUACUUUUGCUUUUAAUGCUUCCCAUUAUAUACUUGGAAAUUGGGAUUACUUUUCCCACUCAUUUCUCAUGUUUGUUUGGCCAAUAAAAGAUUAAUUGCAUAAAGCAACAAUAGGGCAAUAGGCUGCAAUAUUUCCACAUGCCUCUCAAACAUUUUACUCCAAUUUUAUGUUUUUUUUUAAAUUAACAUAUUUUUAAAUUUUUAAAUUUGAUAUUUGAUCCAUAUACUUUAAAAGUUAAAAUUUCAAUUCUUCUACUUUUUUAAUUUAAAAAUCAUAAUCAAACCAUUAUCGUCGUUGAUAGUUUUUGUCAAAAUUUGUCAAUUUAAUAUGUUUAUUUCUAUCAAUCAUAUGUCACGUCAUAAGAUGACACGUUAAUCAAAAUUUUAAGUUAACAAGUUUUAUAAAAAAUACUUGCGAUUUAAUGAUUGCACUGAGAUUUUUAACUUUCUAACUUUUUAAAUAUAUGAACUAAAUCUUAAAAUAUUUAAUAAUAGAAAAUAUAAAAAAUAUUAAAAUUAAAUAAUAAUAUAGAAAUGAAAUUUUUUCUUCAAAUUUCUCAUCCAAAUACAGUCUAGAAAAGUUUUAAAGAUGAAAUUUAAAUAUAUGUUUGUUUCAAAAGUGGAAAAUUCUAUAUAUUGGAUCAUCAAAAUUUUCACUUAUUGUGUCCAUCAAUCUAGCUAAGACUUAACUUGUACACAAUAGUUCAACGUUGUUUUUGUCCAUUAUUAAUUACUUGGACAUUUGCAUACAAUGCCAAAUACUUAAUACUUAAGGCCUAUAAUAUUUCCACACUAUCAUUUUUGGUCCAAAAUUAAAGAUAUUAAAAUUUUCAAUUUAAACCAUUAUGAUUUAAAACUCGAUGUAUAAUUUUGAGAUAUAAAGUGAUUUAAUUCUUUGAUAAAUUAUAACAUAUUUACAAAUUCGAUACUCAUUAACAAAUUAAUUUUACAUUAUAAGUUAAAUUAUUUUAUAAUUUUUGUUGAGAGAGAUCAAUUUGUUAAUUUUUAAAAUUAACAGGGACUAAAGGAGUAUGUACAUCAAUCUGUUGUUUGAAUUAUUCGAGUUUUUCAUUAUAAAAUUUAACUUGAAACUCGAAUUGUAAACAUUUUUAAUAAAUAUAAAACAUAAAAAAUAUUAAAAUAAAAUAAUAAUUAAAUAAUGAUAUAGAAAUGAAAAUAUUUCUCCAAAUUUCUCACCCAUAUAUGCUCUAAGGAAGUUUCAAAGCUGAAAUUUAAAUAUGUUUCUUUCAAAAGUGAAAAAUUCUACAUAUUUUAUUAUAAAAAAAAUUCACUCAUUGUGUCUAUCAAUCUAUAAUGUGACUUGACUUGUACACAGUGGUUGAACGUUGUUUUUGUGCAAUAAAAACUUAGACAUUUGCAUGCAAUGCCAAAGACGACCUAAGACUUAAAAGUCCUAUAAUAUUUCUAACUAUCAUUUUUUCUGGUCCAAAAUUAACCCUUUGAUAAAUCAUAACAUAUUUACAACUUGGAUACAAAUUAACAAAUUGAAUUUAUAUUAUAAGUUAAAUUUUAUUUUUUUGGUGCUAAAACAAAAUUUACUUAAAAAAAUAAAUGAUGUAGAAAUAAUUAUAUAUAACAUAAAAAAUGAUAAAAUUUACCUGAGUUUGAAAUAAUUUAAAGUUAAAAUAUUUGUAACAUCGAUUUUUGUUCCUAAAAAGUCCAUACCUAAAAUAUAUAAUUUAAACUCAAAAUAUCCGUUGAAUUAUUAUCUUUGCUCAUUCUAUGCGUAAUAAUGGUUCUAAUAGGGUUUAAAGUACAUUUUUAUUGCUAUAAUUUUGUCUUUUUAAUGACUUCGAUUUAGUAAGGCGUGGACAAGAAAACUACAACAUUGGCAUUAAUAAGUUAAUGAGAUUGAUAAAAUAUUAAAAUCUCACUCUUCAAAAUUAAAAUUAGCAAAAAAAGAAAGAGGUAAGGCAAAUUAAGUGUGAAUUUAACAACUUAUUUCUAAUACUAACAAUAAAUAAUUUAUGCAUCAUCACUAACAGCUUUAAAUAAUACAUUAUUAUCCCUUGCUUUUGUAUGUUGGAAAAAAUUGACCAAAAAGACUUAACUGAAGUGGUGGAACAGCAUUUUGAUGGAGUCUUGAUUUGGCAAAAUGACUUAGAAAUUGCAUGCAUUGCCAAUCACUCAUAAAUAAGUUGUAUGCCAAACACAAUCCUCCUUCACACCCACCCAACAUGAACACUCUUCAUUCCCUUAUUUCUUCACUCUCUCUCUUCUCAUGCUUCCUUCCUCUUCUCUUGUCUUUUUCACCUCCUCAAACUCAUCUCCCAAUGCAAUGCCCUGAUGACCAGAGAUCUCCUCUGCUGCAAUUGCAACAUCAUCUUUACUAUGCCCCUCAUUUUACUUUCUCUUCCAAAUUUGAGCUUUGGGAUCCCUACACUCAUUGCUGCUCUUGGAAAGGAGUCUCUUGUGAUGCUCUUGGUUAUGUCGUUGGCGUUGAUCUUAGUAAUAGAAACCUUUCCGGCAGUUUUCACUCCAUUUUCCGUCUCCGUCAUCUUCAACGCUUGAAUCUUUCUGGAAACUACUUUAAUACCACUUUGCUUUCUUAUGGGUUUCACAAACUCCAAAAUCUAACCCAUCUCAAUCUUUCAAGCUCAUGUUUCCAUGGCCAAAUUCCAGUGGAUAUCUCAUACUUAACGAGGUUAGUCUCUCUUGAUCUAUCUAAUCAAGAUUCUUGUUAUUCGCGAUACUACAUCAUUCUUGACCCAUAUAGAGGCGUCCGCAACUACUAUGAUCCAUUGCCUUACGAACUUCAACAGCCUCUUAAAUUAGAGAAACCAAACUUCAAGACAUUAAUCAAGAAUUUGAGGUUUCUCACAGAGCUUUAUUUGGAUGGGGUAAACAUUUCAACUCAAAGUGCUAAAUGGUGUGAAACCACAUCUCUUGUACUUUCCAACCUGCGUGUGUUGAGUCUGUCACACUGUGUUUUGAAAGGUCCAUUAUGUUCUUCACUCUCAAGACUCUCUUUUCUUUCCAACCUUAUCCUUGAUUGGAACCCAAUCUCUUAUUUACCUCCCAAUUUCUUGGAAAUUUCGUCUCAUUUGGUUUCUCUCAGUUUAAUGGGUUGCAAUUUGAGUGGCCAUUUUCCAACUGAAAUUCUCUUAUCGCCAAAAAUUCAAAGCAUUGACAUUUCAGCUAAUUACCAACUUAUGGGUCAGUUGCCAGAAUUUCCAGCAAACAAUGCUUUACAGAUUUUGUCACUUUUUUAUACAAAUUUCAGUGGAAAACUACCUGAGUCGAUUGGUAAUCUUAAGUUCCUGACAAACUUAGAGCUUUCUUAUUGUAAUUUUGCUGGACCCAUUCCAUCGUCAAUUGCAAAUCUUAGUCAACUGGUGAACUUGGAUCUAAGAUUAAAUGUUAUGGUUUCAUUAACGGUCACAUCUUUGUUUAUAUUUCUGUUAAGACUGUUAAAAUAAUACUUAGUUAAACGCUGCGUUUCAUUUAAGUGGCUUAGUGAUACGGUGAGUUUUACUUAGUCAAAACGGAUGCGUUUUGUCUAUUGCAGUAUAGCGGUUAUGGUUGUCCAUAUAUGAUUUGUGACCGAAAAGGAAAGGCAGGCAAUUUUGAAUCCUGUUUUCAGUCUCUAUUUCUUCCUACUGUUUUUUUUCUCUCUGAAUUUUCUCUCUUAUUCUCAUUUCAAUCCCGAUCUCAAUUUAUUCUUCAACAUUAAACAAGCUUUCUGGAUCAAUACAUUCUUCUUUAUUUACUCUUCCAUCGUUGAAGAUCUUGAAUCUUGGAGACAAUCAAUUGGUUGGGAAAAUUGAUGAGUUCCCCAAUGCAUCUUCUUCUUUGAUUGAAGUACUAUAUAUAGGCAAUAAUUAUUUAACAGGACCAAUCCCAAAGUCAAUCCUUCAACUUCCAAGGCUUGAAUGGCUUUAUAUCAAAAGCAAUAGCUUCAGUUCCAUGAAGCUUGACAUGUUUGUCCAACUUAAGAACUUAAAGCGUCUCUACUUAUCCAACGUAAGCUUGUUAAUUGAAAGCGACAACAGAAGUCUUACUUUUCCCCAAUUAGAGAGCCUAGGGCUAAGGUCAUGCAACCUUACUGAAUUUCCAGAAUUCAUUAAAAGGCAACACAAGUUGGUUCACUUAGAUCUUUCUAAUAACCAUACCCAUGGUUUUGUGCCCAAUUGGUUGUGGAAGAGCAGUCUUUCAUGGGUGGACCUUUCUUUCAAUGUGAUUGAUUUUCCAAAACAGCUUCCCUUAAAUGAUGCAAACUUCUCAUAUGUUGGCAGACUUGGAUUUGAGAUCCUGCAACAUAAGUGCGUUUCCAGAGUUCAUCAAAACACAAGACAAGUUGGUUGACUUAGAUCUUUCUAACAAUCAUAUCCAUGGUGUUGUGCCUCAUUGGUUCUGGAAGAGCAGCCUUUCAAGGGUAAACCUUUCUUUCAAUGUGAUUGAUUUUCCAAAACAGCUUCCCUUAAAUGAUGCAAACUUCUUAUUUCCAAUGUUGACAAGAUUGGAUUUGAGAUCCUGUAAUAUAAGUGCGUUUCCAGAGUUCUUAAAGAGUCAAAAAAAAUUUAGAAGAAUUCGACGCAUCUUAUAAAAAUUUGAGUGGCCCAAUUUCAAAUUGGUUAUGCAAUAUGAGUCUACUUUACACUUUCGAUGCAUCUUGUAACAAUUUGAGUGGCUCAAUUUCAAAUUGCUUGGUCAAUAUGAGUCAACUUGACACUUUCGAUGUAUCUUAUAACAAUUUGAGUGGCCCAAUUCCAAAUUGCUGGGGCAAUAUGAGUGCUCUGAUUUUGUUGCGUUUGCAAGGAAAUAACUUCAGUGGAAUGUUACCAAAAUUUUCAACAGCAACCCAACUGCAAUUUCUGAAAGUUAGUGAGAAUAGACUGGAAGGGAAGUUGCCUAGAUCAUUAGCUGAAUGCACUCAGCUUGAAGUUUUGGACGUGGGAAAGAACAAGAUGAAUGAUACAUUCCCUUUUUGGUUGGAGAAAUUGCCCUACUUGAGGGUUCUAAUAUUGCGGGAAAACAGAUUUUAUGGUCAAAUUAAACAUUUCAAACAUAAAUCUGUUUUCCCAACUUUGGAUGUCUGGGACAUUGCUUCAAACCAGUUUUCUGGUGAACUAUCCAUUGAUUUCCUUCAACCCACUCGACUAAGGUCACUCAAAAUAGGUGGGAAUAAAUUGGAAGGGAAGCUGUCGAGAUCAUUAGCCAAUUGCACAGCACUUGAGGUUCUGGACCUCGGAAAUAAUAUGGUUCAUGAUACAUUCCCAUUUUGGUUAGAGAAGCUACCUUCCUUGAAGGUUCUCGUUUUGCGAGCAAACAGAUUCUACGGCACAAUUUCAAAAAUCGACACGGAAUGUGGGUUUCCAAAGCUACGCAUAUUGGACAUUGCUUCCAACCAUUUUUCAGGUGACUUGUCCAUUGAAUUUUUGCAGAGUUUGAAGGCAAUGGCGAAGAUGACUAAUGACGAAAAGGCUAAGCGGGUUUACAUUGGGGACGUCUAUUAUAAAGACUCUGUGACAAUUGUUAACAGGGGGGUUGAACUAUUUUACCAAAAAAUCUGAACUGUUCUUACUUGUCUUGACCUUUCCAACAAUAGUUUCCAUGGGAGAAUACCAGAAGAGAUACAAAUGCUGAGGUCACUCAGAGUGAUGAACUUAUCCAACAAUGGCUUUUCUGGUGAAAUCCCAUUAGCACUUGAAAAUCUAAAAGAUCUUGAAUCUUUGGAUCUCUCACAGAAUGAGCUGUCAGGGAAGAUUCCUGCACAACUUACAAGUUUAACUUUCUUAGCAGCAUUGAACUUGUCUUACAACCAACUCGAAGGGAUUAUACCGCAAAGCAACCAAUUCAUUACAUUUACAAAUGAUUUUUACCGUGGGAACCCAAAAUUGUGUGGGCUGCCAUUGUCAAGGAAAUGCAAUGAAGUUGGUCUUCCAAUGCCACCACCUCCAGGGGAAGAUGAAGAUUCAUGGUUAUAUGCUGUGUCUACUUGGAAAAUUGCGUUGAUAGGUUAUGCUAGUGGAUUAGUGGUUGGGCUAUGUAUUGGAUAUACAGUGCUGAAUGAGUUGGGAAACAAAUGGGUUAACAAGUUCAAAAAGUGUGGUAAAAGAAAUAGAAGAAGAUGUAGGUGACUCCAUCAGAAUUCUUGCUUCAAAAUUAGCUGGUAAGCGUUUGUCUUUCUAAUUUGAACAGAUAGUUGUUGAUUUAUAUAUAUAGGUUUUCAUAACCUCAUUUUUUUGCUGUCUUUACUAAGUUCACUGUCAUAUCGUACUUGUAAUUUGAUGUUACCAUUGAGCAAUGCAGGAGGUACUUGAAGCAGGACAUGGAAUGUACAAUUGUGAGGUUCAUGAAGAAUGUAGGCAAUGAUCCUAACAAGAUCAAUCCACUGGUUUGUAAUUUUGCUUUAUAUGCACUUUUUUCCUGUUGUAGUUUUCCAUGAGUAUAAAUAAGUGUUUAUUCAUUUUGCAUCCAGGUACCUGUGGAUUUGGGGGAUGCAAUGUUUCAGUGCUACUGAAUUUCCAUGCUAAUAAUGAUAUUAUAAACAAGGAAAUGGCUGCCGAAGCUCUCUUUUAUAUAUAAUUUACUUUUACUUCAAAUUUUUUUAUCUUCAGAAUAUUUGUACAGCUGAGGAGAUUUGAUGGCAUGAUGUUGAUGAAAGUCAUACCUAAUGGACAUUGGAUUGAUUGUGUAAAGAGACGCAGAUGCUGCUACUUCCAUCCUUUGCUCUUCCAAAUAGACAUUAGCUUUAUAUUUUAUCAAUUACGUGUUGGGCUUUAGGAUCGGGUGUAAAGGGUGGACCUGUUGGUCCGGGUUUUAAUUCAGCCCGACACUUAUUUUUAUACUAGUUUAUUUAUUGUUUCAGUGAUAGUUUUAUUAAUUUCAAAAAAUAUGGUUGAAUUAGGUAAUAAUAUGAUAAUAAUAAUAAUAAUAAUUAAAAUUUAAUGAAAUAAAUUAUGUCUUAAAAUCUAGUAUGUUUUCCAAUGUUAGCCAAAGGCCAACAAUAUCUCACACUAAUAUUUUCUUUGUUAGUCCGAAAUUAAAAAUUUCAAAUUAGAAUGUUAUUUAUAGUUUGAGGACUUAAUUAAAUUUUUAUUUUUAAAUUUAGAGGUCAAUUUUAAAUUUAAUCCAUAAUUUAAGGAAUUAAUCCUUUGCUAAAUCCUAACAUAUUUAUAAGUUCCAUACUCAUUAAUAAAUUAGUACUAAAAAUGCUCAUUUGGAUUUAGACAAAAGUAAAUUAUGAUAAAAAUUAAAAUAUAUGAAAGAAAUGAUGCCUUAUAAUGUGGUGUGUGGCAAACAAUCUAAAACAUUAGAAAUAAAUAUGUGACCUUAAUAAAGAAAAUCAAUUCUCUUAUUGUAAAACAUUUAUAAGAAUUAAUUCAAGGGACAAUUUUAUCAUUGUAAAACAUUUAAAAGAAUUUAUUUAAGGAAAAAGAUGGUAUAAAACUGUGAUUUCACGUUAUCUCUAUCCCUUCCUAAUAGAAGAGGAAUGACAAAUUAGAUUUUUAUUCUGAUUUGUAGCAUUUUUAAUUAGAUUUGAAUUUUUCUAAGAGGAAAAAGUUAAAAAUCAAGAGAAAAAAUCUGAUUUGUUAUUCUCCUAUUAGAGAGGGAUAAGGAUGACAUGGAAUCACAGUUUUAUACAAUCCAUUCUCUUUGUUCAAAUAUUUAUUUACAAAAAAUAAAAAUUAUAUGUUGCUUAAUCUCAUAGUGUUUUAAUUGGCUUGAUAAACUUUGAAAAAAAAAUUUUAAUUGAAAUUAAUUUUUUCCACUACUUGAGCCCAUCAAUCCAUCUCAACUACCUAAGAAACUUGCUAAACAUUAUUUUCAUGGGGUAAAAAAGAUUUAGACAUUUGCAUGCAGUGCCAAAAGGCUAAGACCUGAGUCCAAUAAUAUCUCAUACCAUAAAUUUUUUGGACCCAUUCCAUCGUCAAUUGCAAAUCUGGUCAACCUAUAUCUGGGAGGGAACAUGCUUUCUGGAUCAAUACAUUCUUCUUUCACUCUUCCAUCAUUUAAGACCCUGUCUCUUGGAGAAAAUCACUCGGUUGGGAAAAUUCUGCCCGGCCCAUAAAUGAAACCCAAAUAAAUAAAAAUCCAAUGUAAGUCCAAGUCCAUUACAGAAAAAAAUAUCAGACACAAAUUUAAAAGGCCCGAAAGCCUAAAAAAAAAAAUAUAGUAGCUAACCGAACCCAAGCCGCCGCUCCUCCCACGUCAGCCACCAACUACUCCUGCAAGGAAAAGACAGAAUCAGAAGCAAUAACAGUGAAAAAAUAUAAAAAUUGUAUGAAACGGCUAUAAAAGCCAUUUGGACAGAUUUGUAAGGGGCUUUUUUGUUUUUGAAGAAAAAAAGGGGAAAAAGAAAUAAAAGAAACAAAAAAAAAACUUUCAAAAGGUGAUCUUUUUUCUCUUAUUUAUUUAUUUUGAAAAAAGAACAAAAAAAGAAAAAAAAAAUCAAAACUUUCUUAUUUUUUCGGACGGUGAUCGACAGAUCUAAGCUCGGGAGGCCGAUAGAGAGAGGAAAGUAAAAAGGAAAAUUUUACCACGAAAUUUUAAUUUUAUUUCAUUUUAGUCCUGCAUAAGGGCAAAGGAUAUUUUCCUAUUCGGUCCAUGUUUUUUUAACGUGUUACAUUUGAAUCCUUAUUAGCCUAUUUUUAUUUACAAUGUAUACCCCUUAAUUUUAUUCCAAUUUCAAUACGAUCCUUAGUUUAUUUAACUUCAAAUUUUUUUUACAAACUGUUUCAUUUAUUAUUUAUUUAUUUUCAAUUUUUAAUCAAUUUUUUUACAUUAUUUAUUUAUUUACUUAUUGUUCCUUUUGUUUUUAUUUUUAAUUGGCUUGCUUUUUGUAUUUUCCUUUUAUUGUGCAUUUUUUUAUUUUGCCUUUAUUAUUGUUAUUAUUCCAUUAUUUAUUACCUUUUAUGUACUUAGAAAAAUAGAUUAUUUAUUAUUAUUGUUAUUAUUAUUGUUGUCAUUUAUAUUAUCAUUUUCAUUAUUAUUAUUAUUAUUUGUUUAUGCAUAUUAAUAUUAUUAUUGCUAUACUUUUAUAUUUUAUUAUGCAUAUUAUUAUACCGUUAUUAUAAAUUGGUGUUGCGUUAUUAUUAUUUUUCAUUAUAUUAUUAAAUAAAAUAUCAAUCAUAUUAUAGUCAUUAUCGUUAUUAUUAUAAUCAAUUUGUGUUGCAUUAUUACUAUUAUAUUAACGUGAUCUCAACUACCUACUUAUUAUCAUUUUUACCAUGACCAUUUCGAUUUCUUUUCUCUUUAUUCGUGUAGCCAUUUUAUUUUUAUUUUAGACCUAACCAUAUUUUCCCUUAGGUUUAGAUAUAUUUAUUUGCUCCUCACUAUGGCCCAAUCUCGUAUUGUGUUAAAUAGUGAAUCCGUUUUUUACACAACUUAUAAGAAAUAAUUAAAAUUAGGGCUGUAAUAGGCCAUUUUAGCCCGGGCCCAAAUACAUAAACCUUAAAAUAAAAAUACAAUAAAUUACAAACCCAUUUUUAACCCAAUAACACCCCGACCCAAUAGCUGAAUUAAAAGCCCAUUUUUUGUGACCCAAUUACAGAGUGGCCCAAACAAAACAAAAUCAGAAACCCUAGCAGUUAGCAAGCCAGCGCCGCAACUGCCCACGUUCUUCUCUCACAACAACGCCCCAAGUCGCAGCAAUCUCCAGCUCUACAUCACUCCACGUUCAGCACUCGCGCACGCCACACGUUUGUACCUGCAAUAACCACGAACAGUAAAAGGUGGAAAAGAGGUUCUCGGGGGUUUUUUUUUCUUUUCGUUAUUUUGGCUAUUUAAAGCCAAAUCAAAUCUGUAAAAGGGUUACACACACAUAUAUCGAAAAACUGUAAUAGGGGUUAGCAAAUUUUUUGCUGAAAACUGAAAAAGAAAUACCAGAGAAAGAAAAAACAUUUUGAAGGUGACGAAUUCAGGUUUCUUUUCCUUGCUUCUUUUUACUGUUUUUAUUCUUUUAUCUUGUUUUUCUUUGAUUUCUUUGAAUAACAAAAAGGGAUAAGGGGAAAAUAGGAGGGCUUACUGUUUUUUGGAGGCGAUUGAAGGCCUCUUUUCGCCGUUGUCUGGUCGGAGUCGGAGCGGCAGAGAAGGGGACUUUGAGAGGAGUUGCGGCGCACCACAAAAAUGGCAGAGAAAGGGAAUGGCUUUAGGGUUUUAAAAUGGGCUUUUAUAGGGGUUCAAAAGGGGCCAUUUGCGCGAUUGGUCCUUUGCUUUUUGGGGUUGUUUAAAUUAAAUUUAUAUUUCCUUUAAAUUUUACUGCAUGUUUUAUAAUUGUUUUAAAUUGGUCCUAUGCUGCGCAACAUUGUAGGUUUGGGUAAAUGUCUCGUUCAGUCCUCCCCCUGUUGUGCGUGUUUUAAUUUACUCCCUUUCAUGUUAUUUUGUAAUUAGCUUUUUAAAUUCUGUUGAUUUUUUUUUAAUUUAAUCCUUAAUUUAUUAUUUUUAGUUUUUAUUAUAUUGUCAAUAUGGUUCAUUGACGUUAUUAUUACUGUAUGGUUAUUAGUUCAUUAUUAUAUGUUAUAUUAUUAUUAUAUUUAUUUAUAUGCGCAUAUGCCUCUUAAUAUACACAUAUACCUUUUUAAAAUGUUUUAAAUAUAUACUAUAUACAUAUCAUAUAUUUUAUUAUUAUUUUAUUUUUCUUAGCUUUAUAUUCGUAUGUAUGCGUAUAUAUUUUUAUAAUAUUUAUAUUUUUUAUACCUUAUGAUCCAAAAAUAAAUAUUUUUUAUAAUAUAUAUACACAUAUACCUAUGUUAUUCCAUAUUUUUAUAAAUAUAUCCGUUAAAUUAUAUAUAUAUAUACAUACAUAUGUCAAUAUUUUUUAUAAUUACUAAAUAUUAUGCUUAUAUUUUAGUUUUUAUAAACUUUAUAUAUAUACAUAUAUUUAUUUAUUUAUUUAUUUAUUUAUUUAUUAUGUUUAUUAUUUUUGUAUACAUGAAUAUAUAUGCAUCAAUAUUUUGUCAUACUUUAAAAAAAUAAAUAUUUUGAUUUUAUCAAAACAUUAAAAUUAUUUUUAUGAUUCAAAGGUUUUCAAAAUAAAAAACGAUAUUCAAAGUUAGGGAUUUUCGAGGAAAAUUGAGCCCUAACGCAUUGGGUUCCGAUUUUCUUUGUUAAUUCCAAAUGACCGAGAAUAUUUGUUAUUUAAAAUAUAUAAGUAAAAAUCAUUUUUGGAACUUAAUUUGUUAUGUCCUAACGUAUUGGGCAUGACAUAAUUGCUUCCUCGAAACGAAUAUUUACUUAUAAGGCAAAAGUGAUAUUCAAAAUUCAGGGAUUUUGAGAAAUUGUACCCUAACGUAUUGGGUCUCAAUUUCUUCACAUGACUUGAAUAAUUGAUUAUCCUUUUCAGAUUUCAUCAUUUGAAUUUUAAAAAUCUUUUUAACCCUCGACAUUAAGAUAUUAAAUAAUCAAUUUGGUACCGAUUUUUGGGCGUUACGAGGGUGCUAAUCCUUCCUCGUGCGUAACUGACUCCCGAACCUGUUUUCUCAAAUUUCGUAGACCAGAGUCGUUUUUAAGGUGAGCCGAUCACACCUCAAUAAAGGAUCGGUGGCGACUCCAAUUUUUGUUUUUUAAAGUCGACAACUAAAUUUUUGUUUUCAAAAAAGAUGGUUUCGACAAGGACAAUGUUUUGUAUUUGGGGAUUCAAGAAGUCGUACCCUAACUUACGGGGCUUGGCUUUCUUGUUAAACUUAGAUGACCAAAUAUCUUUUUAAAAUUAAAACACGUGAAAUUUAUAUAAUAAUUUAAAUAAAGAGCAAGCUUAUUUUCAAAGAUUUGAGAUGUCGUAUCCUAAUUUACGGGAUAUAACCUUUUGUUACCUCGAGAUAAGAGGGCCUUUUACAUAUAUUUUUGAUUUAUUCAAGUGAUUUUUAGUAACAUGAUGCAAAGUGCGAUCAUGUUUUAAACUCUCUUCAAUUUUUUUAAUUCAUGACACUAAGACUUUAAUUAAUCAACUAAGUACUAAUUUUAAAUGUCGCAAGGGUGCUAAUCCUUCUUCGUGCGUAAUUGACUCCCGAACCCGUUUCUUGAAUUUUGUAGACCUUAAAUAUUUAUUUUAGAAAAUCAAAGCGAUCAAAUUACGAGGUGACCCGAUCACUUCGACAAUGACUACAAGCAUUUUUUCUCACAAAGUUCACUAUCAUAUCAUAUUGUAUUUGUUCUUGUGGCAAUGAAAAAUUUACCUUGUUGAAGUGCAUAGGUACUUGAUCCAAGACAUGGAAUGAACAGUUACGAGGUACAUGAAGAAUCUAGGCAGUGAUCCCAACAAUGAUCCUAACAGCUGAGGAGAUUUAAUAGCUUGAUGCUGAUGAAAGCCUUAUCUAAUGGACAUUGGACUAAUUGUGUAAAGAGAUGCAGAUGUUGCUACUCCCACCCUUUGCUCUUCCAAAGAGACAUUAGCUUUAUAUUUUAUUAAUCAUGUGUUGGGCUUUAAGUCCGGGUGCAAAGGGUAGACCUGUUGAUUCGGGUUUUAGUUCAGCCCAACACUUGUUUUUACAGUAGUCUAUUUAUCUUUUUUAAUGAUAAUUUUAUUACUUUGAAAAAUACCAUUCAAUUAAACUUUGUGUGUAAUAAUAUGGUAAAAAUAAGAAUUAAAAUAUGGUGAAAGAAAUGUCAUCUUAGAAUCUGGUAUGCUUUCCAAUGUUAGCCAAAGGCCAACAAUAUCUCACACUAUUAUUUUCUUUGUUAAUCCAAAAUUAAAAAGUUCAAAUUAGAAUGUGAUUUAGAGUUUGAGGACUUAAUUAAAUUUUUUUUAAGUUUAGAGUUCAAUUUAAAAUAUAAUCCAUAGUUUAGGGACAUCAAGUGAAUUAACCCUUUGAUAAAUCCUAACAUAUUCAUAAGUUGCAUACUCAUUAAUAAAUUAGGACUAAAAUGCUUAUUGGUAAAUUGAUUUCACAUAUAAGUUAAUUUAUUUUUGGGUGCUAUACCAAAGUUUAAUUAAAAGAUUGUAAUGCUACACUUCUACAUUUAAAAAAAUUAAAUUAUAUAUAAGCAAUUAUGAUAUAAAAUCAAGGCAGCCCGCAUCUAAAAUAUUUUAAGCAUCAAACACAUGAAAAAAAAUCCAAACCCAAAUAUUUUAAGCAUCCAAAACAUUGGCAUUGGCAUCAAUAAGAACACUUGGAUUGGAUAAUGAAAAAAAAAUCCAAUCUCAACUAUUUAACAACGACAUGUUUAUUAUAUGAUUUUCAAUACAAAAUCAGAUAAUUAAUCCGACUCUGUUGAGUUAACUCAUACUUAUAAUGUUCAAUUAAAUGAUUUUUUCAAAAAAAAAUUAAUUGUUUAUAUUUCGAAUCCAAUUCAACCAAUAAAAAGCCAGUUAUAUUUGAAUGCGAAUGCAAAGCAGUGGAUAUAACGUAAGGGACUCAAUCCAAUUUGGCAUUCUAAAUGAUGUCUUAAUUACAAUGUGGUGUGCUUUCCAGAGUUGGCAAACAACCUAAAGCACUUCUUUAAUUUAUCUUUGAAAAGUGAUAAAAAUAUUAAUAACUAAAAUUAAAAAACUGCAAGAACCAUUAUCUUUCACAAAUUAUUCAAAAUCAUAUGGUAUUUGUAGUCGUUGGCUUAUAUUUUGAAAAGAUUGAUGUUACAAACUAACUCUGAAUUUCCUAAGCUUAUUUUUUGUCCCUUGACACACUUCGCUAUCAUAUGGUAUUUGUAGUCGUAGGCUUGUAGCAUUGACAUUCAUUUUAUCAUUUCGCAAUGCAAGAGGUACUGAAACAGGCUAAGCUGAAACGGCUCAUUAGGUUUGCAACUCCAAAAGACUCUUCGAAAAGAGCAAUGAAAGAAGCGACAAAAGGGUCCUUGGCUGUUUGUGAUGAUGCACUUACAUAGACUCACUUCUAUAUGAUUCAUGUAAAUCCUUUCUAUAACUUAUUUCCUAGGAAGCAUUCCUCUGUUAGAGCAACUAAUCCAUAAUUCUUAAAUCCAGAUACUGAAAUUCUUUUUUUUUCUCUCGAUUUUGUAGCAGUGGCCAAACUCCCCAAUGUCUUGGCUACCAAUCUUCUUUAAUUUAAUCGAACUCAUUUAUGGUAAGGAUGAGUUUUGAAAUGCUAUAUGAAUAUUGUGAGUUGAACAUGAGCAGCAUACUUGAUAUGCAAAAUCUAAUAUCAAGAAUCUCCCUUGUGAGAUUCAUUUUUGCUUCAAUUCACAGCCAUUUGGGGUACGUAAUUUGUCUCUAGCACUGAACUUUCAUGCCAAUAAUGCUAUAUUAUAAACCAGGAUCAUGGCUUUUCCAAGCCUUCUUUAAUAUGAAUUUACUCUUUAGUUCAGAAUUUUAUUUUCAAAUUAUUUCUGUGCAGCUUGGAAGAUAAUAUGAUGAGUUGAUGUUGAUGAAAGCCACAUUUAACAGAGUGAUUCUGCAAAGAGACACCACUGCUAGAUGUGCCUCUUUGAAACAGGACAAACUCAAGCAAAGAUCGUUAACUUUAUCUUUGAAAACAAUGGUAAAACUUUCUAACUAAUUAUCUUUUCCUUGACAUCUUCUUUAAUCAUGCUUGAAUUAAGUUUAAGCAUAUGAAAGACAUGAUUGUUGGUAGAUAAAUGAGAAGCUUCAUGUUCUAAUUUUUAGGCUAAUGGUCUAAGAAGACAGUAAGGCGUGUUGAUUGCAGUUUGUUAUCUAUUAUAUGGAAAAGAAAACGUGCAUUGCCAACAUAAAGUACAGAAAGGAUAUGCAUAAGGUGCAAAGGCUUAUCAUCGAAGCAAGUCUACAUCUUGUUUAAGGUGGCUCAUGUUCUCUUACAUGUAAUUUGCAUGAAAUCUUAUUAUCUUAGGAUUAUACUGGAGUGCCACCGGCAGUUGACCUCACUAGCAUGUGAGACACUGUUAAGAAUCUUGACAAUGAUCUUAACAAGAUUAAUCCACUAGUUUCUAAUUUUCCCUCUAUAUUUUACCAGGAGUAUAUAACUUAUUUACUUCUAUAUCUUGCAAUUUAUGCGGCCCCUGAGCAUGGUAUAGCUUGGUGUUGGUAGAUUCACAUCGUCCAAGAACUUACAAGAUGUUGAGAAAGCAUAGUGUUGGCAAAAUUUUUUAGUUUUAUGGUUAAGUCUAUGAUCAUAAAUCUUAAGAAUAGAAUGAUUUUACUAUAAAAAAAUCAGGUUUAUAGGACUUUAUCAUCAAUGUAACUAUUUUUAAUGUGGUUAUAGGAGAGGGUGUGGUUGAAUUAUCUUUAGCUAAUCAUGGUCGAGCCAUAGUUGCAGACAUGGGACCUGAAUAAUGUGCAACCAUGGGUUGUCUUUCCUGUGGAUCAUACAGCCUUGCAAUUCCUUAAUUUAACCAGCAGGAGUGGUGACACAGUUCAUUCUCUGCGUGGUGAUGACUCCAACAAGGUUUUAUGUUAUUAUUGCUACUAUUUUGUCUUUUUAAUAAUUUAGAUAUAAGAAAAUUUUCAUAUAUAUAUAGAAUAAGGAUGAGACAGAAAGACUAAAAUAUUGGCAUCAAUAAGAACACUAAGACCAAUAAAAUCUCAUUUCAAAAUUAGAAUUGAAAAAAUAUAUAUAUAAAAAAUUGAAGAUGCAAAGCAAAUUAAGUGUGAAUUGAAAACCUUAAUGCUAAGACUAAGAAUAAAUAAUUCAUCCAUUAAGACUAAUAGCUUCAUCAUCAUCCUUUGCUGUGAUAUGACUCUGGUUUGAAUUUAAAGAAGCAAAUAUGAAGUACUCAUAAUGCGAGAGAAAAUUACUUAGCUAAGAGAAGAAAUCAUUUACUUCAACGAAACUAUCCCCGGUAGAAAUAAAAGCCAAAAGAAUUAAAUUCAUUCAAAACAAAAAUUGUAGGGAUUAGUUUUAUAAUUUUACUUAGAUUUUUAUUUUAACAGAAGGACGUGGGUUCGAGUACGCCGAAGUGCAUUAUCCUCCUAUUUAUGGAUUGGGAAGAGACUGGGUAGUUUUAGGCAUUGUAUCAAAAAAAGAAAUUUUUAGAGCCCUAGACGGCCACACUCCCAAACUACCCUAAAGUCGGGCUGAUGGUGACUAGAAAACAACCCAACAAAUUCCAAUCAAAUAUCAUGCUCAAAAUUGGAAUUAACAAAUGGAAAAACAAAAAGACAUUGGUAAAGCAAAAUAAGUGUGAAACAUAAAGAAAUUGAUAUGAAGAGUAAGAAGAGAGUAUGAAAAAUUUUAAAAUUGUAAAUUAGGAUGACUUUAAAAUAUGGGGAAGAUUCAUGGGUUUGAAAUCAAUGAUUUUGCAGUUUCUCUUUGUUGAUUUGGUGGAUGUUUCCCACUACUUUUGCUUUUAGUGGUUACCAUUAUAUAAUUGGAAAUUGGAAUUACUUUUGCCACUCAUUUCUCAUGUUUGUUUGGCCAAUAAAAGAUUAAUUGCAUAAAGCAACAAUAGGGCAAUAGGCUGCAAUAUUUCCACACGCCUGUCAAACAUUUUACUCCAAUUUUAUGUAUUUUUUUAAAAAAUUAACAUAUUUUUUAAUUUUUAAUUUUAACAUUUGAUCCCUAUACUUUAAAAGUUAAAAAUUCAAUUCUUCUACUUUUUCAAUUUAAAAAUCAUAAUCAAGCCAUUAUCAUCGUUGAUAGUUUUUGUCAAAAUUUAUCAGUUUAAUAUGUUUAUUUUUAUCAAUCAUAUGUCACGCCAUAAGAUGACACGUUAAUCAAAAUUUCAAGUUGACAAGUUUUACAAAAAAUACUUGCGAUUUAAUGAUUGCACUGAGAUUUUUAACUUUUUAAAUAUAUGAACUAAAUCUUAAAUUUGACCAAAAUACAAGAACUAACAACAUAUUUUAACCAAAAUUUAAAUAGUUUGCACAUUGAAUCAUCAUAACUAAUUUAAGGAUUUAAUUAAAAUAUUUCAAAAAAUUUCCAUAUUACCUUUACUUUUGUAAAUAAUGAUAUGCAUUGGAAUUAAUUAUUAAGUAAAAGGAUAAUGUUUUAUGGAAACUACAAAUUUAUGUAUAAAAUGUUGCAUGAAAAUAAUCCUUCUUCAUACCCAACCAACAUGAGACUCCAUUUCCUUGUUUCACCUUUUCUACCUUUCUUCUUUCUCUUCUCAUCCUCUCUUUCUCAAUCUCAUCUCCCCCAAAAAUGUAAAAUAAAAAAAAUAUUUUAAUUUUUAAAAAAUAUAAAAUUUUGGAAUUUUUAUGAAUAUUUUGAAUUUUAAAAAUUAUUUUGAAUAUUUUGAAAAUUAUUUUAAAUUAUUUUGUAAUUUUGGUUGAGAGAGAUCAAGUUGUUAAAUUUUAAAAUUGACAAGGACCAAAGGAGCAUGUACACCAAUUUUUUGUUUGAAUUAUUCAAGUUAUUUAAAUUGUAAAAUACAACUCGAAAUCAAAUUAUAAAUAUUUUUAAUAAUAUAAAACAUAAGAAAUAUUAAAAUUAAAUAAUAAUAUAGAAAUGAAAUUUUUUCUCCAAAUUUCUCCUCCAAAUACAGUCUAAGAAAGUUUGAAAGCCGAAAUUUAAAAAUGUUUCUUUUAAAAGUGAAAAGUUGUAUAUAUUGUAUCAUCAAAAUUUCCACUCAUCCAACUAAGAAACUUACUAUAAUUUUGUCUUUAUAAUGUGACUUGAUUUGUACACAAUGGUUGAACGUUGUUGAUAAUACUCUGGAAUGACAUAUCUUUAUAUAUUAAUUACAUAUAUAUUUUAUUUUGAGUAUGAUCCUACUAAAUUGAGCUAUUUAUGGUUUUUAUAUUGUAGGGACUAAAUUGAAGGAAAAAUAAAAUUUAGGGGCAAAAAUCAUGAAUUUGAAGAUAAAAUGGGUCAGGAUGCAAAAUAGGAAAGAAAUGGUGCCGAAAAUGCAAAGUGUGGAAAACUUGGGGGCAAUAGUUCAAAAAAGAGAUUUUAUAAACACAAGACUCUAUUUGAAUUUUAAUUAUAUUAGGAUUAUUGUUAAGAUUAUUAUUUAGAUUUAAUUCUAGCUUUUAUCUUUAUUUAUCUUUUAGAAUUUAGAAAGGAAUAAACUAGGUCUUUUGAGUACUAUAAAUAGGGGAUGGAGUGACAUAGAUUUAACUCAUCUUUUCUGUAAAAGCUCUCUCUCCCAAAAAGCUUUAGCAUUUGUUUCUUUCAUUUAUUCAAUAAAAUUUCAUUUUUAUUAAGUUUAUUUAUUUUUCCCCAAAAAGCAUGAGCCAUUAAAUUCAUUUAGCCAAAUGUUGUCGAGAUUCCCCAAAAAGGGUUCAUGAGGCUUAGAAUCCGCACUUAGCCUUCUCAACAAAUGUUUAUCGUUUCUCCGUACUACGGGACUGACGCUUCCGUCCAUGUCCCUUCAAAAGUGAUCUUUUCAUCUUAAAAAAUUGAUUUUAUAUUAUAAGUUAAAAUUUAUAUUUCUGGUGCUAUAACAAAGUUUACUUAAAAAAUUAAAUUGUAAUUUUUUUAUUUAAAAAAAAUUAAAUGAUGUAGAAAUAAUUAUAUAUAACAUAAAAAUGAUAAAAUUUACCUGAGUUUAAAUAAAUUAAAGUUAAAAUAUUUGUAAUUUUUUGUGCUAAAAAGUCGAUACCUAAAAUAUAUAAUUUAAACUCAAAAUAUCAGUUGAAUUGUCAUCUUUGCUCAUUCUAUGCGUAGUAAUGGUUCUAAUAGGGUUUAAAGUGCUAUAAUUUAGUCUUUUUUAAUAACUUAGAUUUAAAUGAUUAUUUAUAUAGAGUAAGGAGUGGGCAAGAAAACUACAACCUUGGCAUUAAUAAUUUAAUGAGAUCCAUAAAAUAUUAAAAUCUCAUUCUUCAAAAUUAAAAUUAACAAAAAGGAAAGACAUAAAGUAAAUUAAGUGUGAAUUUAACAACUUAUCUCUAAUACUAACAAUAAAUAAUUUAUGCAUCAUCACUAACAGCUUUAAAUAAUAAAUUAUUAUCCUAUGUUGGAAAAAAUUGACCAAAAAGACUAAGUGGUGGAACAGUAUUUUGAUGGAGUCUUGAUUUGGCAAAAUGACUUAGAAAUUGCAUGCAAUGCCAAUCACUCAUAAAUAAGUUGUAUGCCAAACACAAUCCUCCUUCACACCCACCCAACAUGAACACUCUUCAUUCCCUUAUUUCUUCACUCUUUCUCUUCUCAUGCUUCCUUCCUCUUCUCUUGUCUUUUUCACCUCCUCAAACUCAUCUCCCAAUGCAAUGCCUUGAUGACCAGAGAUCUCCUCUGCUGCAAUUGCAACAUCAUCUUUACUAUGCCCCUCAUUUUACUUUCUCUUCCAAAUUUGAGCUUUGGCACCCCAACACUGAUUGUUGCUCUUGGGAAGGAGUCACUUGUGAUGCUUAUGGUCAUGUCGUUGGCAUUGAUCUUAGUUACAAAAACCUUUCAGGCAGCUUUCACUCCAUAUUCAAUCUCCAUCGUCUUCAACGCCUUAAUCUUGCUGGAAACAACUUUAAUACCACUCUGUUUUCCUAUGGGUUUGAUAAACUCCAAAAUCUAACUCAUCUCAACCUUUCAAGCUCAUGUUUCCAUGGCCAAAUUCCAGUGGAGAUCUCAU